rnacentral:lncRNA from 1 species
CGGACUUAAGCAUCGCUACCAGUGAUAAUGUAUCAUCGUAGUCAACAACUUGAACUUGUGAAAAUACUUUUUCCACAAGUCGAGCUUUAUAAAAGGUCACAUUACCAACCGCGUCCGUCUUCUUGAAGAUCCAUUUGUUCUGAAUAGCCUUGCAACCUUCAGGUAAUACUUCCAAAGUCCACACUUUGUUUUCAUACAUAGACCCUAUCUCGGAUUUCAUGGCCUCUAGCCAUUUAUUGGAAUCAGGGCCCACCAUUGCUUCUUCAUAAUUCGCAGGCUCGUUGUUGUCUAACAACAUGAUAGAUAAGACAGGAUUUCCGUACCACUCAGGAGCAGUACGUGAUCUGGUCGACCUGCGAGGUCCGAUAGUAACUUGAUCCGAAACUUCAUGAUCACCAUCAUUAGCUUCCUCCUCAACCGGUGUUUCCUCGACACAGAUUUCCCUCUGCCCCGCGCCACCAUCUUGAGCGAGCAGAGGUUCCAAAACCUCAUCAAUUCUUUCGAGAGAAACUAUUUCUCAAGAAAAGCUUCGUUCUUAGAAACAAACACUUUGCCCUCGGAUCUGAGAUAGAAGGUGUACCCAACUGUCUCUUUUGGACAACUAUGAAGACGCACUUUUCCGCUUUGGGUUCCAGCUUUUCAGGCUGAAGCUUUUUGACAUAAGCAUCGCAUCCACAAACUUUAAGAAACGACAACUUUGGCAUCUUGCCACACCAUAGUUCAUAUGGUGUCGUCUCAACGGAUUUUGAUGGUGCCCUAUUUAAAGUGUAUGCAGAUGUCUCUAAUGCAUAACCCCAAAACGAUAAUGGCAAACCGGUAAGAUACAUCAUAGAUCGCACCAUAUCUAACGAAGUAGGAUUACGACGUUUGGACACACCAUUACGAUGUGGUGUUCCAGGCGGUGUCAACUGUGAAACAAUUCCAAAUUGUCUUAAGUGAGCACCAAACUCAAAACUCAGAUAUUCGCCCCCUCGAUCAGAUCAUAGGAACUUAAUCUUCUUGCUACGAUGAUUUUCAACUUCACUUUGAAAUUGCUUGAAGUUUUGAAAUGUUUCAGACUUGUACUUCAUCAAGUAGAUAUAUCCAUAGCUACUCAAAUCAUCAGUGAAGGUGAGAAAAUAACGAUAUCCGUAGCGCGCCUCCACACUCAUUGGCCCGCACACAUCAGUAUGUAUGAUCUCCAACAAGUCACUUGCACGCUCCAUUGUUCCGGAGAAUGGAGUCUUAGUCAUCUUGCCCAUGAGGCAUGGUUCGCACUUGUCAAGUGAUUCGAAAUCAAGUGACUCCAAAAUUCCAUCAGCAUGGAUUUUCUUCAUGCGCUUUACACCAAAAUGACCUAAGCAGCAGUGCCACAAAAAGGUUGCGCUAUCAUUGUUAACUCUACAUCUUUUGGUCUCAAUGUUAUGGAUAUGUGUGUCAUCAUAAUCAAGAUUCAAUAUGAACAAACCCCUCACAUUUGGUGCAUGACCAUAAAAGAUAUUACUCAUAAAAAUAGAACAACCAUUNNNNNNNNNNNNNNNNNNNNNNNNNNNNNNNNNNNNNNNNNNNNNNNNNNNNNNNNNNNNNNNNNNNNNNNNNNNNNNNNNNNNNNNNNNNNNNNNNNNNAACACAGUUUUGAACUCAAAAGGACAUGCAUAUAUUUGAGCCACCCAAUGCAAGGAACAAAAGAUUUGGUGUCCACCGGAAAAAAAUAUUCACAAUUCCAUCGAAUGUUGUUAGUGCUGGAUGCCACAUUUGUAGAAAAAUCAGGCUCAGACUUGUGAGAAGGAGAUAUACCUCACUCAUGAUGAUCUAUCACGCACAGCUAAGCCGAUAGAUAAGAAAUUAAUUGGCGACCGUAUUGUCGGAUUUCGGGCUCCACAAAGCCCUAAGGAUCCGAACANNNNNNNNNNNNNNNNNNNNNNNNNNNNNNNNNNNNNNNNNNNNNNNNNNNNCUAAGGAUCCGAACACUGGGGCGUGUAUGAAGAUCUCCCCUGCUUCGCCUCGCAUGUCUCACUACUCGAUGGAAACAAUGAAGGACUCACUCGAAGGUUCAGGCCGCUGCGAAGCAUAAAACACUACACCUGCUUUGAUGGAUUGCCUCUCUCUGAGGUUGAGGAACGAGAUGGUACACGACUUUUGCGCCUCCAGAGGCCAAGUGGCUAAGCGUGCUGCUCUAGGGUUUCGAUCCCCUCUCUCAACUAUCCUACCCUAUCUAUUUAUAGUGGAGGCCCGGGUCCUCUUCCCUNNNNNNNNNNNNNNNNNNNNNNNNNNNNNNNGGGUCCUCUUCCCUCUUAGCUUUGGCGGGAAGGGAUUCCACAACGACCAAUUUUGAAGGGGAACAUGCUCCCCUAACAAGAGAUGGUCUUCACCUGCAAAGUAAUUGUCCACCCCAUAGAGACCGGCUCGUGGAUGACGUUUGCCCUACUGGCGGGAGACUGCGGCUUUGUUGCACCAGAAGAUAAACCUUUGGGGGAUGCCUUUGGGAAGCAUGUACGCCCCACCUCCUUUGCACCAAAGGGGAAACUAUCUCGUCCUGCCAUAUGCUGCUCGCCUAUCCUUCCCUGGUGUCACCCUUGACUGCCGAGGACCGGCCCUGCCUCGUAAUAUCCACCAAUCCGGACGGGUCCUGAAGAGGCCCCCCUACGGGUCUUGACGCUGCUCCUCCUCAUGAGGCUUAGCUCCUCACGAGGGCCUGCCCUUAAGCCGUGCUGGGUGAUACGUCUCCAUCGUAUCUACUUUUCCAAACUCUUUUUCCCUUGUUUUGCACUCUAGUUUGCAUGAUUUGAAUGGAACUAACCCGGACUAAUGUUGUUUUCAGUAGAAUUGUCAUGGUGUUGUUUUUGCGCAGAAAUAAAAGUUCCCGGAAUGACCUGAAAAUUUACGAAGAAUUUUUUGUGGAAUAUAUAAAAAAUACUAGCGCAAGAAUCAACCGAAGAAGUGGAGCGUGGAGCCCACAAGCCCACCAGGCGUGCCCCCCUGGCCGCGCCUAACAGGUUUGUGGGGCCCACAUUGCUCCACCGCCUCCCAUUCCACCNNNNNNNNNNNNNNNNNNNNNNNNNNNNNNNNNNNNNNNNNNNNNNNNNNNNNNNNNNNNNNNNNNNNNNNNNNNNNNNNNNNNNNNNNNNNNNNNNNNNGAGCACAUACUCAAAAUGUUUGGGUUACACGGUCGUCUGACUUCACUUGGAGUCGAACUUCCGGAUGAUGCUAUAAUUGACUGAAUCCUCCAGUCUCUCCCAUCAAGCUACAAAGGCUUUGUGCUUAACUACAACAUGCAAGGGAUGGAGAAGACCAUUCCCGAGUUGUACUCGAUACUCAAGUCUGCAGAAGUAGAAAUCAAGAAAGAGCAUCAAGUGUUGAUGGUCAACAAGACCACUAGUUUCAAGAAGGGCAAGGGUAAGAAGAACUUCAAGAAAGACGGCAAAGCUGUUGCUGCGCCCGGUAAGCCAGAUGCUGAGAAGAAGAAAAAGAAUGGACCCAAGCCUGAGACUGAGUGCUUCUAUUGCAAGGGAAAAGGUCACUGGAAGCGGAACUGCCCCAAAUACUUAGCGGACAAGAAGGCCGGCAACGUUAAAGGUAUAUGUGAUAUACAUGUUAUUGAUGUGUACCUUACCAGCGCUCUUAGUAGCUCCUGGGUAUUUGAUACCGGUGUUGUUGCUCACAUUUGCAACUCAAAGCAGGAACUGCGGAAUAAGCGGAGACUGGCCAAGGACGAGGUGACGAUGCGCGUCGGGAAUUGUUCAAAGGUCGAUGUGAUCGCCGUCGGCACGCUACCUCUACAUCUACAAUCGGGAUUAGUUUUGAACCUUAAUAAUUGUUAUUUAGUACCAGCUUUAAGCAUGAACAUUGUAUCAGGGUCUUGCUUAAUGCGAGACGGCUACUCAUUUAAGUGAGAGAAUAAUGGUUGUUCUAUUUAUAUGAGUGAUAUGUUUUAUGGUCAUGCUCCGCUGGUAAAUGGUUUAUUCUUGAUGAAUCUCGAUCGUGAUGUUACACAUAUUCAUAGUGUGAGUACCAGAAAAUGUAAAGUUGAUAAUGAUAGUCCCACAUACUUGUGGCACUGCCGCCUUGGUCAUAUCAGCGUUAAGCGCAUGAAGAAGCUCCAUACAGAUGGACUAUUAGAGUCUCUUGACUUUGAAUCAUUUGACACAUGCGAACCGUGCCUCAUGGGCAAGAUGACUAAGACUCCAUUCUCAGGAAUAAUGGAGAGAGCAACCGACUUAUUGGAAAUAAUACAUACCGAUGUGUGUGGUCCAAUGAACGUUGAAGCUCGCGGUGGUUAUCGUUAUGUUCUCACUCUCACCGAUGAUUUGAGUAGGUAUGGGUAUAUCUACUUGAUGAAGCACAAAUCUGAGACGUUUGAAAAGUUCAAGGAAUUUCAGAGUGAGGUUGAGAAUCAACGUGACAGAAAAAUUAAAUGUCUACGAUCUGAUCGUGGAGGAGAAUAUUUGAGUCACGAGUUUGGCACACACCUAAGGAAGUGUGGAAUCGUUUCACAACUGACGCCNNNNNNNNNNNNNNNNNNNNNNNNNNNNNNNNNNNNNNNNNNNNNNNNNNNNNNNNNNNNNNNNNNNNNNNNNNNNNNNNNNNNNNNNNNNNNNNNNNNNCAUUGUGAUCUAUUUAUUCACACAUGUAUUACUGUUUCCUGUUAAUACAAUUAUAGCAUGAACAAUAGACGAUUAUCAUGAACAAGGAAAUAUGAUAAUAACCAUUUUAUUAUUGCCGCUAGGGCAUAUUUCCAACAGUCUCCCACUUGCACUAGAGUCGAUAAUCUAGUUACAUUGUGAUGUAUCGAACACCCAUAGCAUUAUGGUGUUGAUCAUGUUUCGCUCGUGGAAGAUGUUUAGUCAACGGGUCUGCAAUAUUCAGAUCCGUGUGUACUUUACAAAUAUCUAUCACUCCACUCUGGACAUGGUCCUGGAUGGAGUUGUAGCGGCAUUUGAUGUGCUUUGUCUUCCGGUGAAAUCUGGGUUCCUUGGCUAUGGCAAUGGCCCCAGUGUUAUCACAGAAGAGUGUCAUUGGACCCGACGCGCUUGGAACCACUCCAAGGUCGGUGAUGAGCUCCUUCAUCCAAAUUCCUUCAUGAGCUACUUUUGAAGAAGCUAUGUACUCCGCUUCACAUGUAGAUGCUGCCACGACUUCUUGCUUGCUACUGCACCAGCUCACCGCCCCACCAUUCAACACAUAUACGUAUCCGGUCUGUGACUUAGAGUCAUCCGGAUCUGUGUCGAAGCUAGCGUCGACGUAACCCUUUACGACGAGCUCUUCGUCACCUCCAUAAACGAGAAACAUUUCCUUAGUCCUUUUCAUGUACUUAAGGAUAUUCUUGACCGCUGUCCGGUGCUCCAUACCGGGAUCACUUUGGUACCUCCCUACCAAGCUUAUGGCAAGGUUUAUAUGAGGUUGGGUACACAGCAUGGCAUACAUUAGAGAGCCCACGGCUGAUGCGUAGGGGACAUAACUCAUCUUCUCUCUAUCUGCUGCCGUGGUCGGCGACUGAGUCUUAGUCAAUCUCAUAGCUUGCAAAACUGGCAAGAACCCUUUCUUUGAGUUUUCCAUAUUGAACUUCAAUAUCUUGUCAAGGUAUGUACUUUGCGAAAGACCUAUGAGGCAUCUCGAUCUAUCUCUAUAGAUCUUGAUGCCUAAUAUGUAUGCAGCUUCUCCAAGGUCCUUCAUUGAAAAACUCUUGUUCAAAUAGGCCUUUAUGCUCUCCAACAUCUCUAUAUUAUUCCCCAUCAAUAAUAUGUCAUCCACAUACAGUAUGAGGAAAGCUACAGAGUUCCCACUCACUUUCUUGUACAGUCAGGCUUCUCCGUAAACCUGUAUGAACCCAAACGCUUUAAUCACCUCAUUAAAGCGAAUGUUCCAACUCCGAGAUGCUUGCACCAGCCCAUAGAUGGAGCGCUGGAGCUUGCACACUUUGCUAGCACCCUUAGGGUNNNNNNNNNNNNNNNNNNNNNNNNNNNUUGCUAGCACCCUUAGGGUCGACAAAACCUUCUGGUUGCGUCAUAUACAACUCUUCCUUAAGGUUCCCGUUAAGGAACACUGUUUUGACGUCCAUUUGCCAAAUUUCAUAAUCAUAAAAGGUGACAAUUGCUAACAUGAUUCGGACUGAUUUCAGCUUCGCUACGGGAGAGAAAGUCUCUUCGUAGUCAACUCCUUGAAUUUGUCGAAAACCCUUUGCGACAAGUUGAGCUUUGUAAAUGGUUACAUUACCGUUUGCAUCAGUCUUCUUCUUGAAGAUCCAUUUACUUUCUAUGGCUCGCCGCUCAUUGGGCAAUUCCACCAAAGUCCAUACUUUGUUCUCACACAUGGAUCCUAUCUCGGAUUUCAUAGCCUCAAGCCAUUUGUUGGAAUCCGGGCCCGCCAUCGCUUCUUCAUAGUUCGAAGGUUCACCGUUGUCUAACAACAUGAUUUCCAUCACAGGGCUGCCGUACCACUCUGGUGCGGAGCGUGCCCUUGUGGACCUUCGCGGUUCAGUAGUAACUUGAUCCGAAGCUUCAUGAUCAUCAUCAUUAACUUCCUCUUCAGUUGGUGUAGGCGCCACAGGAACAACUUCCCGCGUUGAGCUACUAUCCUGUUCGAGAGGGGGUGUAAUUACCUCAUCAAGUUCUACCUUCCUCCCACUUACUUCUUUCGAGAGAAACUCUUUCUCUAGAAAGGAUCCGUUCUUGGCAACAAAGGUUUUACCUUCGGAUCUAAGNNNNNNNNNNNNNNNNNNNNNNNNNNNNNNNNNNNNNNNNNNNNNNNNNNNNNNNNNNNNNNNNNNNNNNNNNNNNNNNNNNNNNNNNNNNNNNNNNNNNGUGAUAGUGAUGAUGAUGAUGCAUUUAUUGAUGAUGAUUAUUAGUUUGUAAGAUUCACAACUUAAAUUAUAUAUAUUUUAAUCUUUAUUAUUCAUGUACAUAUUAUUAUUCAUGUCAGUUAUUCAAUUUUUUUAUGUUGUACUAAUUUCUUUUAAUCUUUAUCAUGGCAGGUCACCUGGUGUUGAAAGAUGGUGGGCGCUGGUCCAGAGCGCUCGACGGGUUCUUCCCAGCCGCCCCGCACGAGGGGUGGUACUUCCCUUCCACCCCUAUGUCUCCGUAGAGCCUUGGCAGACAGUCUGUCGACACCACCCGUGGGUUCUUCUUCGUCGGCGGCAUUGCCCACUGGGAGAGGUGCUCUUCGGGUAGGGAAGAAGGGGAAGGGUACAUGGAGAGGUGGUGGCCACGGAAGAUCCAGGAGGACUGUUGAGCCGUCCUCGCCACCACCACCAGCUCAUUCACCCGAGCAUACGACUACUAUGGUCGACCCGUUUGCGGAAGAGGCUACGGGGACUCCGGUCUAGGAGCGUGGUGUUGACGGGCAUUCGUCCCAUGAGACUCCGGUCCAGGAUCAGCCUCGGGUCGAGGUGCAUUCGUCCCACGAGACUACGUUUCCGGAGGCUUCACCCGACGUGGAGAGGCCCGGAUGGGAUACCUGGCCGGAUCGGACCGAGUUGCCGGAUUGGACCGAGGGUCCGAGUGGCUCAGGGGGCUGGGAUGGCGGGGAUGAGUUUACGGAUAGUGAGGGCGAUGUGCAGGUGGACGGGGCCACCGUGUACAAGAGUGGUAGUACACGUCUCCCGGUCGUGCCGGCUACCCGCGAGCAGAGGCCGGUGAUUAAACCUGAAGGAGAUAGGUAAGUACAUUUACUCUUUUUUAGCUUUUGCCUUCAAGUUUGUUCAAAUAUCUAAUGUGUUGACCUUAUCAUACUGCAGGGGAUGGGUACACCCUAUUGGAGUCCGCAGGCCGAACUCCGUCCUUGGUGUGCUUUGCCGGACAAAUUUCCCGGGGUUUGUCACGUUGCUUGGUGAGGGUCAGGUUCCUACACUAGGAUUUUCCUGGGAGCACUACCAGGCUGCGCAAGCCCCGCCGGAAGAGAUUAUAGAUGGUGUCUUGUGACACACGAGGGUCGAGAUGGUGAUCAAGAGCUUUUGGGUAAAUUAUCCUUUUACACAAUCUAAAAUUAACAAGAUAAGUAAUUAUUGUACUAAUCGGUGUUUUCACGUUUGAUUGCAGACCUUCUAUAGGUGUGAGGAUGGAUAUGAGGAGGAGGCGGCCAAGGUUCUCGAGGCCGAGUGUAGGCGGUUACUACAGAACUUAUGCCACGAGGCUCGGCCGCAGGCUAUUCGAGACUACUAUGCCACGCGUGGUAUUAAGAAGCAGAAGAAGGAUUGCCGCGGAAAGUUUCUGAAGAAGGAGCAAUACAUGAAGGUAAUUACCUAUUCUUAAGUCCUUAUACGUAGUUUUCUUGAUUUCAUUCAUAGGCGUAGCGCUCAAAAUUCUUUCUAAUAACUUACAGGUGCCCCCGAGAUGGUGUGCGGAUAAGAUGGAUUGUUGGGAGGCGUUGGUUGAUGAGUGGUGCACAGGCAGCUGGCGAGCCGUCCACGAGAAUGCGAAGGAUCGGCAUAGCCAAAUGGUUGGUGUGCCACACCAUCAAGGCAACGCCAACUUACUUCAGUUUGGACGAAACUGGGUAUGUGAUUUGCUUCAUGAUUCAUGCAAUUCGUUCUUCAUGCUAGUGUUUUGAUCCUCUCUUUUAGGCGCAUCACAAUAAUACGGAGAUGCCACACUUGUACGACCUUUAUGGCAUGGCCCAUACUGCCUCGUACAAGAAGGCGAAGGCAUUCUCUGAGUCUGACCUGGAUGAUCCCAAUAACUUCACCAACAUAUCAUCCCACCACAAGCUCGUGGCAUACAGGGACGCGGGGAAGGCUAUGAAAGGGGAUGACUUUAACCCUAGCCAGGAACCUUUGGAUCCAAAGCUGGUGAUGAUAUCUGGUGGCAGGAGGCCCCAUGGCUCGAUAGCCAUUGGAGCUGGGAUAAUACGUUGUCCACUCACUCUCCCGGAGAUCAAGGCGCGCCAGUCGAGCAGUUGUCCUGAGAUAACGCGUCGUCCACGGCCAGUCGAUCUUGCCAUCGAGGUUAGUUGUACGGACUAAGAACACUUUCAUCCAUUUCAUUAUGUGUGUCACCAUAGAUCAUUACUGUGGUAACUAGGAGUGGUGUUUCAGGCUGCUCUUCGGAAAGAGAGGUUGGCAAACUAGGCUGCUCUUGAGAAAGAGAGAUUGGCAAACCAGGCUGCUCUUGAGAAAGAGAGAUUGGCAAGCCAGGCUGCUCUUGAUGAGAGGGACCAGACCACGACACGAUUGAUUGAGGAGGAGAGGUCCCGAAAUGAGGCGGGUCAACGGGCCGUGUAUGAGCUUUUUGUGGUAAGUUUUUUUUCACAUUAGCCAAAUCAUGUGUGUAAUGUCUGUUUCAUUACUAACUAAUACGACCCACUCUUCACGGUCAGUGCGAGAUGAGCGGUCAAGUCCCUCCGUCGAUGCCCGUCUUCUCUUCGAUUAGCAUGGUGAGUUUUAUUAUAAACUAGUAUUAAUAAUUUAGUGUCAUCAUGCUAACUCAGACAUUGCAAAAUAUCUAUUCUGCAGAAUAACUCCCGAGCGGCAUCGCCCGACCCUUCUCCACGUAUUUCUCCUCCUUGAUGACCACUACGGUAAGUUUAUAUUCUCCUCUUUCAUAUAAUGACAUAGUUAGCUAAUUUAGCUCCAAGAAGAGGAGAAGAGGAGGAGGAGGAGAAGGAGGAGAAGGCCAAGGACCUUCUAGUCCUUCUCCUCGUCCUCCUCCUUCUCCUCCUUCUUCUUUAUUUCUUCUUCUCCUCCUCCUCCUCCUCUUUCUUCUCCUCUUUCAUAUUCUCCUUGCCUUAAUUUCCCCAACAAUGACAUAAUUAGCCCAUUUAGCUCCAAAAUGCCAUAAUAACCUCAAAAUGGCAUAAGAACCUUGGUUAGCUCAUUAAUAUUAUAUACUUAGCUUGUUUUCCUCUAAAAUGGGACAAUUAGCCCAUUUAGCUCCAAAAAUACAUAGUUAGCUAAUUUAGCUCCAAGAAGAGGAGAAGAGGAGAAGAAAUAGGAAAAAUGAAAAGAAAGAAGAAGAAGAAGAAGAGAAGAAGGAGAAGGAGGAGGAGGAGGAGGAGAAGAAGAAUAAAUAAAGAAGAAGGAGGAGAAGGCCAAGGACCUUCUAGUCCUUCUCCUCCUCCUCCUCCUUCUCCUCCUUCUUCUUUAUUUCUUAUUCUUCUUCUCCUCCUCCUCUUUAUUCUCGUCUUUCAUAUUAUCCUUGCCUUAAUUUCCCUAACAAUGACAUAAUUAGCCAAUUUAGCUCCAAAAAGACAUUAUAAGCUCAAAAUGGCAUAAGAACAUUGGUUAGCACAUUAAUAUUAUAUACUUAGCUUGUUUUCCUCUAUAAUGACAUAGUUAGCUAAUUUAGCUCCAAGAAGAGGAGAAGAGGAGAAAUGAAAAGGAAGAACAAAAAGAAGAAGAGAAAGAGAAGAGAAGGAGAAGGAGAAGAAGGAGGAGGAGAAGAAGGAGAAGGAGGAGGAGGAGGAGGAGGAGGNNNNNNNNNNNNNNNNNNNNNNNNNNNNNNNNNNNNNNNNNNNNNNNNNNNNNNNNNNNNNNNNNNNNNNNNNNNNNNNNNNNNNNNNNNNNNNNNNNNNGAGAAGGCCAAUGUGGCCGUCGAACGCUGCAAAGAGGUGGAAUCCCGCCUGAGCGCCCUCCAAGGGGAACAUGCCAAGCUAGUCGAGCAACGCCGCUCGAAGGAGGAGGAACUCAAGGCCUGUGAGGCCAAGCUUGCCGCCCGGGAGAGGGAGCUGUCCCGGGAGACGAACCGCCUGGGAGCAGAACAGGAGCUCUUGGUUGAGCGGGAGAAGGAUGCCACNNNNNNNNNNNNNNNNNNNNNNNNNNNNNGCGGGAGAAGGAUGCCACCACGAAGGAGGCUCUCCUUGAGGCCUGGGAGAAGGCCCUCGCCGCAGCCAAGGAAAAGAAGGCCUCCGAGCUGGCAUGCUUCCCCGACGUCGAGCUUGUGCUUCGCAAGGCGAUCCACUACCUCUGUCGGGGUGGGUUUGACGAGCCUCUGGCUACCCCGGAGGAAAGCAUUUCCAUGCUCGCGAAUGGGCUCGUCACAGCGCUGCGGGAUGCCGUCAUGCAGAUCGACAAGUCCUUGGCGAGUGAAUGCCACGACCUCUUCUUCGCGGUCGUGACUCGUGUCUUCAGCCACGUUCAUCUUCGCGACCCCGAAUUUGAUCUAAGCUUCGUGAUCAUGUGGUUCCUCCCAGGGCCCGCGACCGCGUCGUGGAGUCGGUGAAGGGUCUUGUGGAGGCGUUGGUGAGGAAGUUCGCCCGCGUCGUGCCCCCCUCGUCACCAGGUACCGCUAGAGGCGACGAUAGGGAAGACAAUGCCUCCGAUGUCGACGACCAGCCCCCUGUGGAGGGGGUGACCGACGGCGGCUCCUCUUGAUCUACUGCACUUGUUAUUUCUCUGCAAUGCACAUCGUGCCUCGUGGAGGCGUCAAACUUAUUUGUGUUUUUUAUGAACUGGGUCAUGGUCUGUAAUAAUUGAAUGCUCGAUUGUUUUCCUCGGCUUGUUCCUAUCAUUUUUUCCGUGUUUCUCUAUGUCGGCAAGGCCGGCCCUGCUCGUACCUUCCCGUGAUUGGACUGACCGGAAACCAAGGACAACCCAAAGGGGGAAGGGGCUAUGAGCGCAGUUAGGCUCCUGAGUCGCGAUGCUCAGGAAUCCCCCUUGACGCGCAAGCUCCUCUCAUGAGGAGGACGUGGUGAAGAUUCCGAAACUUAGAACAUUUUCAGCACUCUGUGUCGGGAGAGCCUGCCCCGCGCAUACCUCGCCGCGAUUGAACCAACCAGAAACCAAGGACGGCCCAAAGGGGGAGUGGCUAUGAGCGUAGUUAGGCCCGUGAGUCGUGAUGCUCAUGGGUGCCCCUUGACGUGCGAGCGACUCCGAUCCUCUUCGUAAGAAACCGAUGGUGUGAGACUCUCGAACUCCUUCAACACUCUGCAUCUGCAGGGCCCGCCCCACGCGUACCUCCCCGCAGUUGAGCCGACCUGAAAGGGGUGGCUAAAAAGGGAAAGGGGCUACGGGCACAGUUCAGGCUCCUGAGUCGCGAUGCUCAGGAGUCACACUUGACAUGCGAGUGACUCCAGCAUUCUUCCUAAGGGAUUUAAAGCGACUUGUUGAGCGCAUUGGGCUAUGUGUCCGCAGGGCCCGCCCCCUGCGUACCUUCCUGCGAUUGAACCGUCCAAGGACGGCCCAAAGAGCGAAGGGGCUACGAGCAUAGUUAGGCCGCUGAGUCGCGAUGCUCAGGGGUCCCCCUUGAUGUGCGAGCGGCUCCGUACCUUCAGUUGUUUGCCCACACGCUGGGUGUGGGCGGAGCUGUGGAUGUAUUGCGCUGAUCCCCUCGAUGGCCUUGGGUGUAGCCAUUGGCGGGCUGUGUUAAUGCCGGUUGAGGGCGUAGUCAUCGGCGGACUAUAUUGGUUGCCCAUGUAUGUACCCAGCGCGGAGCAUAGGUCUUCUACUAGGCAUAGGGUGGACCCCUCCGUGUCCUCGGGGGGCCCUGGGCGUAUAUAGCCUCGGCUCGUUAUUACGUUAGAGUGUCACGGUGGGGGUGUAUAUGGGAGGUCGCGAGAAAGAUAGGGCCUUGCAAGUGUCCCUACCCCGAGGCAUCGGGGCCUGAUCUUCUCCCCAGCGUGGAGCGUAGGUCUGCCACUCGGUAUAGGAUGGACCCCAACNNNNNNNNNNNNNNNNNNNNNNNNNNNNNNNNGACCCCAACGUGUCCUCGGGAGGCCUUGGGCGUAUACAGCCUCGGCUCGUUAUUACGUGAGAGAGUCACAGUGGGGUGUAUAUGGGAGGUCGUGAGGAUGCUAUGGCCUCGCGAGUGUCCCUACCCCCGAGUCAUUGGUGGACUGAAUUGACUUGGUUUGGGUCAUUGGCAAACCCUGCUCACUUCUUCUUUAGGAGAGGGGCUCCGCACCUGCACGAACAAACUUUGACCGGAGCCCCCAAGCGGGGGCCGAUCGCCCGACAAUAUAACCAAGGCGGAACGUUAGGAUGCCAAGCAGGUGCAAUUGAACAACCAAAUGAUGCAUAAACGAAAGUAGUAGCUGGGGAAAGUACAGAGCUCGGGGAGGCCGCAUGGCCCUGGGGUUACCUAUGGACUGGGCGAACCGAAAGGUUACCUGGCAGCGGCCAGCAAAAAGUUACCUAGCGGCCGAGCUGCUGAAGUGCCGGAGGCUCUGUUGUCGCUUGAUUUCCUGGAUCCGCAGUCGCGACCCUCACGGGUCCAUCGCCCCCCGAUCUAGGGGCCUUCGCUUGGCCCGAGCAUCUUCUCCUCCUCCUCGUGGCGCCCAAGCACGCAAGGGAGGAGAAUGGCCUGCUGGAGCCUCUGGUACGUGGCAGCCGCGUUCCUCAGCCCGGAGAGCAUGAAGGCUUCAGUGCUCGGGUACUCCCACCAGUAGCCAGUCUGCGUAGGACAGAAGGGGUCGUGCGCCAUGGCUGCGUUGGUUGCAGACGCGUUAAUGCAGAUGCGGGGCCGGUCAACUGUGCAGACAGCGGCGACUGCGAUGGGUGGUGCGGGGCAGUUACCGUGUCGCAUGGUCUGGGCCUCGAGAAGUUCUCGGAUUUCUUUGAUGACGGACUCGCGAGAUCUGGUCGAACGUGCUCCGGAGUGCGCCCUCGGGAUGUGCUCAGACACCGCCUCUGUCUCACUGAUCAGGCUAGGGGCCUCCCCGGUGGGAGCCCCCUAGCCCUGAUCUAAGAGGGACGCCGAGCGCACAUCCCUAUGCGAUGGGGGGCAGGGAUCCGUCCCCGAGCAUCGAACACAAAGCCCCGAGGCACUCCGCAGGGAGGAACUCCUUCUUGAGCGGGGCUUCGUGAGGCAGCUCGUCAUCUUCAUCAUUUGAGCGUUCUGACGUUGCCGCACGGUACGCUCUCUCCAGUGCGUAGACAUCAUCCUUCUCAUGACAGGGUAUGGUGAUGUCACCACCGCUUCCCGGCAUCUUGAGGACAUUCUAUCCAUGGUGGACCACGACCAUGAACUUGGCAAGCACUGGUUACCCGAGGAUGGCAUUGUAUGGCAGAUGGAUGUGCGCGACGUCGAAGAGGAUGACCUUGGUGUGAUAGUUGUGGCGCUCGCCAAAGGUGACGGGCAGGUGCACUUGCCCAAUGGGUACGGUGGAUCCCUUUGUUACCCCUGAGAAGGGCUUGGUCGGCAUGAGUUGCUCAUACGGCAGCUGGAGCUUCUCGAAGGUCUCGACUGAGAGGAUGUUGAGCCCAGCUCCACUCUCAAUGAGAGUCUUGGUGACGAGGACGUUGCUGAUAGUUGGGGUGCACAUCAUUGGGAGCUUGCCAGCCAGGAACGAGCACCUGAGCUGGUCGCUUGGGUCGAAAGCAAUGGUGGUCUGGGACUAGUUGAGGGGACGUAUCGCUUCAGGCCUCGGGAGGGCGACAUUCACCUCCUGGGACAACUGCAUGAAGGCGUGGUUGGAUGCUGGGGUCUGGGCACCACCCAGGAUGGAAGCUAGUGCCCUGGCAUUCUGGAAGCCCCCAGCCCUGUCGUCUUGCUUGUCUUCGUUCCUCCUCCUGGGCUGCAGGGGCAGCGAGGGCAGCCUGGUCUCUCGAGGGCGAGCCUCACGAGGUUGGCCGCUUCGCUGGCCCUCCUGAGGAUUAUCACGCCAGCGGUCCUCCUGAGGUUGGCCAUGCCAGGGGUCCUCCUGAGGCUUCUCAUGCCACCCCUGACGUGGCUCACGAUCAUCCCAGCGGACCCCAUUGCGGCCUCCUCCAUGCAGGGUUUCUGUAGAACUGUCCGGGAUCCUGUUGAAGUGUUUGGCAUGAACCAAACGUAGUUCUUGACAUUCAGAGGUGUCAUGGCCGAUGGUGCAAUGGAAGAUGCACGUCGGCCCUCCUCCAGAGGGGCGCUCUCCCCCCUCGAGUAUGCUUCGUUUCAGGCUCGGCGGCUAGUACCGCUGGGGCCUUGCGCUUCAGCUCCUUGGCUUUGGCCUUCUUCUCUUCUGGGUCCGCCGCCUGGGGCCCAAGGAGCGAUAGGCGUCCUUCUUCCGCCUUGGCGCACUUGCUUGCCAAGUUGAACAUCUCCAAUGCGGUGCUCAUUUCAUCGUUCAUGGCAAGCUCUUCCUUCAUCUUGAGGUCGGUGACUCCGUUGGAUAAAGACGAUACGACAGCCUCAUCCGACGCCUUAGGGAUCAUGAGGCGCAUGACAGUCAAACAUUGUAUGAACUUGUGCAGGUUAUCCACCUCUUGCUGCUUGACGCGCCGCAGGUCGAUCACGGUGGGAGCGCGGUCGCGGGUGCCCUGGAAGUUGGCGAUGAAGCGCUCACGCAAGCCGUCCCAGGAGGUAAUGGACGCCUUUGGGAGGUUGAGGAGCCAUGAAAGCGCGCCACCCUUGAGCGCCAUCGGGAACCAACAUGCCAUGAUCUUGUCGCCACCUCCUGCCGCCUUGAUGCUCAGUGUGUAGAGUUGCAGGAACUCUGUCGGGUCUUGGUUUCCGUCGUAACAUGGGGGCAGGUCGGGCUUGAACUUGCAGGGCCAUGUGCCGGGGUAGAUAUCGGGGGCGAUGGUGAAGCACCCCACCGGUCCAACAAGCACAGUACGCGCGGGGGCUGCCUGGUCUUGUUGUUCCUCAGGGUCUGCCUCGAGCAGAGCACGCUCCGGGCGCGAGAUCUACAACGCCAGGGGAGCGCACGCGUUGGCGCGGGGCCUGGGGAUCAUCUGGCAGCUUGCUUCAUCCCCGGGCCUCGCCCUGGGUUCACGCGGCCGAGCACGGAGUCGUGCUUCCUGCCCGGGCUCGGGGUCCGCGACAUGCCGCGGAGGCGAGUAUGGCGCGUCUUGCUCCUCGUUGUUCGUCAGGGACGGCUAGGGCCGGAGCAAGCAGGAGAGUGCCGCUGAGUCACCAGCGGCGGCGAUGAGUUCCUCGAUGCGAUGGAUCGAGUUGUCAUGGCGGUCUAGAGCUGGUCGGUAAGGGAGAAGCUCGGUGGUCAUGGCAAGCGGGCGGCGGCCAUGGGGCCUCCCUAGCCGAGCGCGGGAUGCCGACGCCGAAGGCCUGACGAGCGACGGCGUGGCGGUGCAGCUGUCGACAUGCUCAGUCGGAGGUUGGGAGCAGCCCUGUUGCUCUAGAGCUUCGGGGCUGGUAGCAGCAUUCACCACGGGUGACGGUGACCGACACGCACCGGCAGCACCGACGGGUGCGGUCCGGGCGAUGCGGGUGGCGCGAUGUUCCGCACGUACCCGGUGUGUAUCAGCCAUCAGAGCCAUGGAGUUUGGUGAGGACGGAGCUUGGAGUAAACCUCGACACGCCCCUACCUGGCACGCCAAAUGUUGGAUUUCGGGCUCUGCAAAACCCUAAGGACUCAAACACUGGCGCGUGUACAAAGAUCUCCCCUUCUUCGCCUCGCCUGUCUCACUACUCGAUGGAAACAAUGAAGGACUCACUAGAAGGUGAGGAGAACACAGAACCCAGCAACUUACCCAGGUUCGAGCCGCUAUGAAGCGUAAAACCCUAAUACUGCUUUGGAGGAUUGCCUCUCUUCAAGGUUGAGGAACGAGAUGGUACAUGGCUUUUGCGCCUCCGGAGGCCAAGUGGCUAAGCGUGCUGCACUAGGGUUUCGAUCCCCUCUCUCAAGUAUCUGUUGGGCAAGGUUGCAUGGGAAACAAAAAAAUUCCUACGCACACGAAGACCUAUCAUGGUGAUGUUCAUCUACGAGAGGGAGGUCAUAUCCACAUACCCUUGUAGAUCGCUAAGCACGAAGUGUUAAGAAAUGUAGUUGAUGUAGUGGAACAGCUUUGUGAUUCAAAUCACCAUUGUCCCACGAUCCGUCCCGAUCUAGUACCGAACGGACCACACCUCUGCGUUCAGCGCACGUACAGCUCGAUGACGAUCUCUGCCUUCUUGAUCCAGCAAGAGAGACGGGGAUGUAGAUGAGUUCUCCGGCAGCGUGAUGGCGUGCUGGUGAUGGUGAUGAUCUAUUCCUACAGGGCUCCGCCCGACCUCCGCAAAAAACCGAUCUAGAGGAAGAACUACGAAGUAGAGGUUUAGGGUUUCAUGUGGCAAAGUUUUUUCUCAAGAACACUAAAAUCUCUAGUAUAUAUAGUAGGAGGGGAGGGGCUAGCCUUGGGGAUCAAGAGAGCCCCUAGGGCGUCGGCCGAGUGGAGGAGGAGGGACUCCCACUCCAAUUCGGUUUGGGAAGGAGGAGUCCCUUCCUUCCUUCCCACCUCCCUCUUUUUUUUCUCCUUUGAUUUUUCCUCUUGGACGAAAUAGCCCUAUUAGGCUGGCCUCACCAGCCCACCAAGGGCUGGUGCGCCACCCAUGGCCUAUUAGGUUCUCUCCCGGGUGGGUGGCCCCCUCCCGGUAAAAACCCGGAACCCAUUCAUCACUCCCGGUACACUGCCGGUAAUGCCCGAAAUCUUUCCGGAAGCCAAAUGAAACAAUCCUAUAUAUCAAUCUUCGUUUCCGGACCAUUUCGGAAACUCACUUGAUGUCUGUCAUCUCAUCCGGGAGUCCCAACAAACCUUCGGUCGCCAACACCUAUAACUCAACUAUACUGAAACGUCACCGAACCUUAAGUAUGCAGACCCUGCGGGUUCGAGAACAAUGCAGACAUGACCUGAGACACUCCCUGAUCAAUAUCCAAUGGAGGGACCUGGAUGUCCAUAUUGGAUCCUACAUAUUCUACAAAGAUCUUAUCAGUUGAACCUCUGUGCCAAGGAUUCAUAUAAUCCCGUAUACCAUUCCCUUUGUCCUUCGGUAUGUUACUUUCCCGAGAUUCGAUCGUCGGUAUCCCUAUACCUAUUUAAAUCUCGUUACCGGCAAGUCUCUUUACUCGUUCUGUAAUACAAGAUCCUGUGACAAACACUUUAGUCACAUUUCUUGCAAGGCUUAUAUGUGAUGUUGUAUUACCGAGUGGGCCCCGAGAUACCUCUCCGUCACANNNNNNNNNNNNNNNNNNNNNNNNNNNNNNNNNNNNNNNNNNNNNNNNNNNNNNNNNNNNNNNNNNNNNNNNNNNNNNNNNNNNNNNNNNNNNNNNNNNNAGCAUGUUUUCUCGAGCCAUGUUGGUACAUGAACAUGGACAUACACAUAUUCUUAGGAACAAAUAAGAAAGAUAAAUGGAGAAGGAAAACCCAAAGCAAUGUCAGAGUUGACAAAACUGCAAUGGCACUUUAUAUGUGGCCCAUCGUCAGUGAGCUGUUUAUGCCUUGCCGGACUCCUCGCAGCCUGGUGGCUUGAAGGCGAUGAAGCUGACGCACUGCACCUGACGCAUGUUGUCGAAUCCGAUGAUGCGGACAUACGCGUCAGGGUACUCCUUCUUGACCUCCUCCACCUCGUUGAGCACCUGUGUGGCGUCGGUGCAUCCGAACAUAGGCAGCUUCCACAUUGUCCAGUACCGGCCAUCGUAGUACCCAGGAGAUGCGUUGUGCUCACGGAAGAUGAACCCAACCUUGCUGAACUCGAGGCAAGGCACCCACUUGGAGCGGAUCAGGUAGUCGACCUGCUUAAGGAGGGCCUCCGUGCUGAGUGGUGGCAAGUAAGACAGGGUCUCGAACUUCUUGAUGCCCUCGAUGGGCCACACCUGCAAAUCAGAUUCACGUCUAUACAUUAAGAGACUAUAACUCUAGUUCUACACGUUUGAUUGUUCUUCUUGACAUCCGUCGGCUUAAAAAUGACUAGAAAGACAGAGACGAUGUUGUUUACCUGCAUGCACCUGAUCCUUCCACCGUUGCUGACGCUGCCGAGGCUAGCACCGUUCGAGCGGCGGCUGACGGGGAGGCCGGCGGUGGACUUGAGCCCCUGGAAAGGAGCGACGGAGGUGGCCGACGAGGCCAUCACGGUGGGGGCCAUAGCUGUACUAUGUAGGUAUAUAGCUUGCUAGAGGGAGGCACACUGGCUUGAGGACUGGUUCGUUGGGUCAGCAAGGCUUAUAUAACCCUUGGGCCCUUCCUGAACAAGAUGUGGAAGGAGUGGCUGCCGUUCGGCAGCGGCGAUAAGCCCCCGCGGAUCACCGCGUCCUGAUAAGGUCGGGAUAAACAACCACAUGUCUGCGCGCCUUAUCCUCUGCACCAUAGAAUCAACGGCCGUGUGCCCUGCUAGCUGCUGGCCCUACUCAUUGCUUGCUACUUGCACUCAUGCCCAUUUGCAUUAUUCUCCAGGUUGGCUGUACCGUAUAUAUGGUGAGAUAGUGAGAUGUAUCAGCAUUGCUACGCCUACUAACUAGAGUUAACUUUUAUUUGAGGGAAACUAGAGGUGAUUAUAUAUUGUGAAAGGGCAUCUGCCUUAGGUACACUUCCAGAUUAAUACUUGGCAAACACAGCUUCCUUCAUCCUACACGGUUAGUAUGCCGAAGUCAUGUCCGUGAUAUGAUGUCUCAAGUCUCAGCAUNNNNNNNNNNNNNNNNNNNNNNNNNNNNNNNNNNNNNNNNNNNNNNNNNNNNNNNNNNNNNNNNNNNNNNNNNNNNNNNNNAUGGCUCAAGUCUCAGCAUAGAUAGUUUAUGAAAUGGUUGUGUCGCUGUGAAAACCGGUCGACUUUGGCCGCCGUUUGCAAUCUCACUUUCGGAUUCAACAGUAAGAUACUCCUAAGCAUGGCAUUGCUAGCUGCUUGAUGUCUCUCAUGUAGAAUUUUCUUUGAGUGUACAAACUCAAAGGAAUAAAUUAAGGCAAACAUCACAACAAUAAGAACAACAUUACAUAAAAAUAAAAAAAACAGUGAUGACAAUGAUCAUCAAUGUACAAAAUNNNNNNNNNNNNNNNNNNNNNNNNNNNNNNNNNNNNNNNNNNNNNNNNNNNNNNNNNNNNNNNNNNNNNNNNNNNNNNNNNNNNNNNNNNNNNNNNNNNNCCCCCCCCCAGAGACAUCUUAUAUCGAUCCCUCAAGUGGUAUCAGAGCAAGGUCACCAAAACCUUGGUUUAACAGCCAUUGGAGGAAGAUGAAUGUGACUAGUUCUUAGAUUUUUAGUUGUAGAGUGCCUAUUUUUGAUGGGGAGUACUUUAGACAAUGGAAAGACGAAAAGCUUGACAUAUUCGAUGAGUUCCAUUUGCGCAAGUAUAUUGAAUAUCCCUAUGCACCUCCCAUUGACCCCAUAGAUCCUUCUCAUGAUGAUGAAGUUAACAUGCUUGGCAACCUCAACACCGUCAAUCUUAUCAUUAGAGGUUUACCAAGAAACGUGAUUAAUCAGUUGCAAAACUUUGAGUGUGCUCAUACUUUGUGGAAAGACAUAUAGGAAAGGUAUCCAAAUUAUUCCUUGAAAAAUCUUGAUAUCAUUGUUCACAAAUACAUUGCUUUCCAUAAAAUGAAGGCAACCAAUCGGAACUUUGAUAAAUUCUUAUUUGAGCUUCGUGACCUCAUGCGUGCCAAAGGAAAUGUCAUUACCAUCAACAACAUCAUUGUUGAAGCCAUUCGAAUGCAUAAAUUUGAAUAUUGCAAUAGUUAAAUUUCUGAUGAAAUAUUGGUCUCCUAUGAGGAAACUUCAUCCGAUGACGACUAUGCGGAACGUGGCUACUAUGAUGAAGAGGAGGACUAUGACACCGAGUAUGAGAAGACCAUGAAGAAUCUCAGUCUUAUGGCUAACCUUAAAGACUACACGGCUGGUGGAAAAGAGUGGGUUAUCGACAGUAGAUGCACUGAUCACAUGACCGGAGAUAAAGACAUGUUCCAUGAAAUCACAACGAAUCGUGGACCUCAAAGGUAUGUAACUUUUGGAGACAAUUCCAAAGGUAAGGUACAUGGUCUCGGUAAGGUGGUCGUAUCUCAUGACAGUUAUAUUCAGAAUGUAAUGCUAGUAUAAUCUCUUGGAUACAAUCUACAUUCUGUAUCUAGACUAGCAGAUUUCGGUUUCGAUGUGCUAUUUACGAAUGUUGAAUGCCNNNNNNNNNNNNNNNNNNNNNNNNNNNNNNNNNNNNNNNNNNNNNNNNNNNNNNNNNNNNNNNNNNNNNNNNNNNNNNNNNNNNNNNNNNNNNNNNNNNNGCUUCCCCCUUAGCAAUAUACAAGGGUAUGUGGAUCCGAUCUCCCUGUCGUAGAUGAACAUCACCAUGAUAGGUCUUCAUGUGCGUAGGAAAUUUUUUGUUUCCUAGGCAACGUUCCCCAACAGUGGCAUCAUGAGCUAGGUUCAUGCUUAGAUGUAAUAUCGAGUCCCAAAAGUAGCAUCAUGAUCUAGUAUCAUGCGUAGAUGUAAUAUCGAGUAGAACACAAAAGUUUUUGUGGGCGUUGAUGUCCGAUUUGCUGCCCUCCUUAGUCUUUUCUUGAUUCGGCAGUAUUGUUGGAUUGAAGCGGCCCGGACCAACAUUACUCGUACGCUCACGAGAGACCAGUUUCAUCGACUAACAUGUAACUUGUUGCAUAAAGAUGACUAGCGGGUGCUUGUUUCUUCAACUUUAGUUGAAUUGGAUUUGACCUAGGUUGUCCUUGGAGGGAGGUUAAAUAGCAAUUUGCACAUUCUCCUUGUGGUUUUGUGUAAGUAAGAUGCGAUCAUACUAGAUACCCAUAGCAGCCACGUAAAGCUUGCAACAACAAAUUAGAGGACGUCUAACUUGUUUUUGCAGGGUACGAAUGUGAUGUGAUAUAUUGGAUGUAUCAGAUGAUCAUGUUGUAAUAGUUAAAUAUCGACUUGCACGUCGAUUCUACGGCAGACGGCUGGAGCCAUAGGGUUGUCUUUAAACUAGCGUUUGUGUUUGCAGAUGCGUUUACUAUAUUGCUAGGUGGUAGCUUUAGUAGUAAUAGCAUACAUAACAUGACAACCUCGAUGGCGGUACGAUGAUGGAGAUCAUGAUGACGGAGAUCAUGGUGUGAUGCUGGUGAGGAUGAAGAUCACGCCGGUGCUUUGGUGAUGGAGAUCAAGAAGCACAAGAUCAUGGCCAUAUCAUGUCACUUAUGAAUUGCAUGUGAUGUUAAUCCUUCUAUGCACCUUAUCUUGCUUAGAACGACGGUAGCAUUAUAAGGUGAUCCCUCACUAAAUUUCAAUAUAAAAUUGUGUUUCCCCAACUAUGCACCAUUGCGACAAUUUGUCAUUUCGAGACACCACGUGAUGAUCGGGUGUGAUAGACUCAACGUUCACAUACAACGGGUGCAAAACAGUUGCGCACGCGAACACUCGGGUUAAGCUUGAUGAGCCUAGCAUGUGCAGACAUGGCCUCGGAACACAUGAGACCGAAAGGUCGAUCAUGAAUCAUAUAGUUGAUAUGAUUAACAUAGAGAUGUUUACCACUGAAACUACACUCAACUCAUGUGAUGAUCAGACUUGAGAUAGUGAAUUUGGAUCAUGCAACACUCAAAUAACUAGAGGGAUGCCUAUUUGAGUAGGAGUUUAUUAGUAAUAUGAUUAAGUAAACUCUAAUUGUCUUGAACAUAGUCUAAGCAAACUUUGCAAUAUUUUAUGUUGUAGAUCAAUGGUUCACGUAGUAGCAACCCUGAAUUUCAAUNNNNNNNNNNNNNNNNNNNNNNNNNNNNNNNNNNNNNNNNNNNNNNNNNNNNNNNNNNNNNNNNNNNNNNNNNNNNNNNNNNNNNNNNNNNNNNNNNNNNUACACCGAGGUAGACUUGGUGCUGAUAAUCAAGCUAGAGUAUCAUUUGUAUUUAGACCAGGUAUUCCCAAUAUAAUGCAGUCGACUAAGAAUUCUAUAAUGUUUAACUGAGCUUCCAAUUAUUUGAACUCCUUACAGAUUCUUUGGGUCCGGUGUCGGUUGAUGUGCUAAUUCUUAUAAGGGAAAAUGAGGUAACACCGAAGGCCCAAGGAAAUAAGAAAAAGAAACGAAUGAAACAAAAGCACACAAGGCAUACCAAUAAUAUCAUAUUCAAGCAACAUCACAUGUUAGUGCUACUCACAACAAUAUUAUGCAUGCAUACUUAAGCACACAUACCUCACAAGAACUCUAGUUCUAUGAUCUAAUAUGUUGUGAAGGUGAAAAACAAGGCUUGCCAGCAUUACCCUUCUUUUGAUAACCAAGAUCAGUAAGGGUUGCCAAAACGGUGAUUUGGAUGGCAUGAUUUGGGAUAGAAACAUGUGUAUCACCGAAACAAUUGGUGUGGCUCCCCCAAAAAACAUGUGUAUCACCGAAACAAUUGGUGUGGCUCGCGAAAAUAUAUAUGCGACACCUGAGCAUCAAUCCCGCAAAAAUGGUGUUCCGAACACUAGGUACCAUGGCAUCACCCCGUUGGGACAUAAAUGACACCAAACACCGAAGAGCAGGUACGCAAAGCGGUAAGGUGCAUGUAGUGGAUCGAAACUGAUGCCACCUACACUCACCAGAUCAACUGUUAGCAUAUUCCAUCCCAGAGAUAGAGUCUUCUGGAAUACGACACUACUUGGCAUAGAACAAACCAGCUCUUUAUUACGAUUGAUAUGGAUACAAUGGUUCGAUACAACGAAUUACAUUGGGACAACGACACUAUGCCUUCUCAGGUUGAUCUAUGCUAGCAACAGAACAAAUUGAAGGAGCGGAAUAACUUCUAGCAGCAAAAGAACGACGAUGGCGAUGGACUCCACUUCGUAGGGACUAUGGCUGGAACGCUUAUCCUAGCUCGCAAACUCGACCAACAAUCAAUCACGACAAGACCUACAAACUGGCAUGACAUGCCAUGUCAGUUCUUUGAAUGUACUCGCAAGCAAGACUAACAAAAUCAUGGCAUUUGCAAGUUAACGAGUAAUAAUGAACAUGAUAUCACUAGAGCACCAUGGCAUGUACAUGGUGAACAAAAUACCUCUAGAACAACAUCAGAUGAUCAUGGCAUGAACAUGUUACUCAAGGCAUGAACAAAUAUGAUACUUAAUAUGCAGCAUACUUAAUUUACCGUAUUUGAACUUACUCUGAUCAGGGUUAUCUCGUAGCAACCACAUGUAUCNNNNNNNNNNNNNNNNNNNNNNNNNNNNNNNNNNNNNNNNNNNNNNNNNNNNNNNNNNNNNNNNNNNNNNNNNNNNNNNNNNNNNNNNNNNNNNNNNNNNGGAGUAGUAGAUAUUUUUGACAGCCCACUUCACACUCACUUUCCCCCCACUUCAUUCUCUCCACCACUUCACACUCAAUAGUCUCGGCUGUCUCCUCCUCCUCACUUCAUUUGCACCAUAGAUUCACCCAAAUUAAGUGAUUAAAUUUCCUUUUUUUGAUAGGUAAGUAAGGGGAAAGCUUUCUUUAUGUUCUAGAUCUACUUUUUUCUCCCUCCAACACGUGUACACACUUUUUAUGGCCUAGAUCUAUGUAUGUUUGUGGUGUUGCAUAUGUUUGUGUUUGCAGGUACCGGUAUUUGAAAUGUGAUAGUUGCCAAUAUUUUUCCGGAAUGUUUAUUCAUUUCCGUUUCGGCUAGAAUUUGGCACUAUGCAUUCUUUUUGGUCUUAUUUUUAGGCAAAGUCAUGCCAAAUUUUUUUUGGUUCUAACAUAUCGUUUUUCCCUACCCCUGCAAGCGACCAUGGUCCGCACGAUGACCAAAGGCAUCGUGAAUAGGCUUUUGAGCUCCGCGAAGGCCGAGAUGCUUCAAAAGAAUGAGACGGAGAUAAGAUGUCCGUGUCGAAGAUGCAAGCUGAAGAGCCUUAUGGACCCGAAUUCCAGACAGGUGCGGGACCACCUGCUCGUGCGUGGUUUCAUGGAUGGCUAUCGGUGGCAAGGUGAUGAAGAUGAUUAUGAAGUCGUCCAUGGGGGCUGGGCAAGAAAAAAGGAAGGGCUGCAAGACAAUAGCGGCGAGGGCGGGCGAGAAGACGAAGAAUCUCCAGGACAUGAUCACGAAGUAGAUGCAAGACACAGUCAUCAUGUAGAAGAUGCCGGACAAUAUGAUGAGGAAGAUCAAGACAAAGGGCAUGAUCAUGAAGAUGAAGAUGCCAGAGCAGAUGACGAUAGACCAUCGAUGGGCUAGGUGCAGGACCCUCAUAUUCAAGAGCGGCUUCUCAAGCAGACGGGUAACGCAAGAGCUGCCGCCCGAGAGAAAGCCAAGCUGGAUCAACUGGAGAUAGACACGGUUACUCCAUUGUAUGAAGGAUGCAGGCCUGAGGAUACCCGCCUGAAAGUAACGCUCAUGGCUCUGGAGAUGAAGGUAAAACACAAAAUGACCGACACAUGCUUCGACGAGAACAUGUCAUUCUGGCACGAACGUCUUCCCAUGGGGAACAAGUGCCCGAACAGUUUCGAGGAGGCGAAGAAAAUCGUGUGUCCUUUGGAUUUACCGCACGUGAAAUACCAUGUGUGCAUGAACGAUUGCAUCAUUUAUCGGGACGAGCACACGGAGUCUACCAUAUGUCCGGUGUGCGGCGUCACUCGAUACAAGAAGAGGAAGAAAGCUCCUCGAAAAGUGGUGUGGUACUUUCCGAUCACUCCUCGUCUACAGCGGUAUUUCGUGGACCCUAAGCAAGCAGAGCUCCUGCGUUGGCACACGGAUAAGGAGGAUAAGAAGCGAGAAGAUGACGGAAAUAAUCCAGAGAUAAAUAAAAAAGACAAGAUGCUGAGUCACCCUAAGGAUGCGAGCCAGUGGCAAGCGUUGAACUUCGAACACCUAGAACUUGGGGACGAUCGAAGGAACAUCAUGCUGGGCGCGAGCACCGAUGGAGUCAAUCCGUUUGGUAGCCAAAGAAGCACACAUAGCACCUGGCCUGUGUUUGUGUGGAUGUACAACCUUCCCCCCUGGAUGUGCAUGAAGAGGAAGUACAUUCACAUGAGUAUGCUAAUUGAAGGGCCGAAACAACCAGGGAAUGACAUCAAUCUGUAUCUGGGGCUGCUGAAAGAGGAGCUAGACACGCUGUGGAAAACGCCAACCAAUACGUGGGACGUCGCAGCGAAACAAUAUUUCCCUAUGAGAGCUGCACUGCUCACGAUGGUGCACGACUAUCUCGGUUACGGAUAUGUCGCGGGGCAGGUGGUCCAUGGAUUUUGUGCAUGCAUCAGGUGCAUGGAUGACACAACGUAUCGCCAGCUAGAUAGAGAUCCCGGGUCUUCAAAAACCAUGUUCAUGGGACAUCGAAGGUGGCUUCGCGACGAUGACGCAUGGAGAAAACGCAAGGAUCUGUUCGAUGAUGAAACCGAACCCCGAAGACCCCCACGUACGAGGAGCGGCGAGGAAAUAGACGAGCUGUUGANNNNNNNNNNNNNNNNNNNNNNNNNNNNNNNNNNNNNNNNNNNNNNNNNNNNNNAAGAGUGCCCACCGCCGGGAAAGAAGCGAAAGGCGCCAGAGCCGCUUCUGAAGGUAUGGAAAACGAGGUCUGUUUUCUGGGACUUGCUGUACUGGAUGAUCCUCCAUGUGCCUCACAGCCUUGAUGUCAUGCAUAUCACGAAGAACGUGUGCGAGAUUCUGCUUGGUACCCUGCUCAACAUGCCAGAGAGGACCAAAGAUGGGCCGAAAGCAAGGGUAGACUUGCAAUCAAUGGGCAUUAGGGAGGAGCUUCACGCAAAACGCCCUAAUGAUGAUGAUGAUGAUGAUGAUGAGGCGAAGGAUACGAAAAGUCGUCGCAAAGGCAAAAAGGCCAAGAAGAUCGAAUACGACUGCCCUCCCGCGUGCUUCACUCUAAGUCAGAAGGAGAUCGAUCAGUUUUUCACCUGCCUCGUAGGAGUAAAACUUCCUUACAGUUACGCGGGGAAGAUAAGCAGAUACCUAGACUCAGGGAAGCAGAAGUUCAGUGGGAUGAAGUCUCACGACUGUCACGUGCUGAUGACGUAGAUACUUCUGCAAUCCGUGGGAUCAUGGACGCGCACGUCCGUGAAACGCUAUUUGGCCUAUGCAACUUUUUCGACGUCAUCUCUUGGAAGUCGGUUUGCGUGAGGCAACUCAGAAGGCUACAGGAAGAGAUUGUGGUGAUACUAUGCGAGCUUGAGAUGUACUUCCCGCCCGCAUUCUUCGACGUUAUGGUGCUUCUACUGGUCCAUAUCGUGGAGGAUAUCAUCCAACUUGGGUCGACGUUCCUACACAACAUGAUGCCGUUCGAAAGGAUGAAUGGUGUCAUCAAAGGAUACGUUCGCAACAGGGCAUGUCCAGAUGGAAGCAUAGCCCAGGGCUUUCUGACCGAAGAGUGCAUCUCCUUCUGCACAAAUUAUCUAAGAAUCGAGAACCCCAUUGGUCUGCCCGUCAACACGCACCUCGGCAGGCUCGCUGGAUGGGGUCACCGUGAGGGUCGCCGCGAAAUGCAUGUCGACUUCAAGGGUCGACUCGCCGCCUUUGGAAGAGCAAGCCUAGUCGCGCUACAACACAUAGACGUGGUCGAUCCUUGGGUGGUAGAGCACAAAACUUUUAUUGAGAAGACGUACAAUGACCGAGGCCAACAGAGGACGGAUAGAGAUAUAAUCAAAGAGCACAACUCAUAUUUCACGCGUUGGUUCAAGGACAAGCUUGUGUCAUACCCUUUACACGAGGAUUCUUCCACGGAAGAAAAACUCAUAUUCGCCUUGUCACAGGGCGCCGAGAGCAACCUGAUGACCUAUGAGGCGUACAAUACCAACGGGUACACAUUCUACACCGAGGAAAAGGACAUGAAGAGCGAUUAUCAGAACUCCGAGGUAACGAUGGAAUCCUACACUGGUAACGACAAUGACAGAUACUACGGAAGGAUCGAGGAGAUCUGGGAGCUGAGGUACGCUGGAGAGAAGGUUCCGAUGUUCCGUGUCAGAUGGGCCAAGAGCGUACUAAAAGAAGACCAGUAUUUCACCACCAUGGUUAUACACGAAGCCAAAUCGAAGACCGCGGGCGCAAACGUCACCAUGAAAAAUGAGCCAUGGGUACUGGCUUGCCAAGUGGAUCAAUGCUUCUUCAUUACCGACUCGUCAAAGCCCAGUCGUGUUGUCGUGAGGAGAGGCAAAAGGAACAUCAUCGGAAUGGAUGGAGUCGCCAAUGAGCAAGACUUUGACAAGUAUGGUGACCAGAAGAUGGAAGAUGAUGACGACGAUGAAGUAGCACCCAACACAAGAAGAAGCAUGACCACCCUACCUAAAGGACGUUCGUUCAAGAGAAGAAUUCAAGGGGUUCCGGGGCUAAAUUAUUCAACCACGAAAAAGAAGGGCAAGAAGAUCAUUGUGNNNNNNNNNNNNNNNNNNNNNNNNNNNNNNNNNNNNNNNNNNNNNNNNNNNNNNNNNNNNNNNNNNNNNNNNNNNNNNNNNNNNNNNNNNNNNNNNNNNNCCAACAGGGGCCGCCCCCGAUUCCCAGCUUCAUGGGCAGAAACUCGCACAACGCGCCGGCAUCGGUGUCUCCGACGGAGGCAGCAUUGUAGGUGCCUCCGGCGUCGGCGCCGGUAUUGGAGGUUAAUGCACCCGUGUGUGGGAAGAAUAAGCCAGCCAGCACCUCGGCAUCAAGCGGCCCCUCCGUCACUUGCAUGCCCGCCAUUGGCGGUGCCUCGAUAUUAGCCAAGCUUCACGCCAUCACGGUAACUAUAGGCCUCGGCCGAUGACUUCAUCUCCUUGCCUUUUUGACUGGGCAUCCCUGACGCCCUACAUGUUUUCGCAGGGCGCCGCCAACGUUCCAUGCACUCUCCUGCACUUCGUGGACGGCGAGUUGAUCGAUGUCGCCAAGGCCAAAAUCGUUGAACCGGGCAACCGCGUGUUCCACAGUAAUCCGAUGCCACGCAUCGUGUAUAGGGUUCAACUGGUUCGGGUGCUGCGGGGCUGCGACGACUAGUUACCUCCAUAUCGAUCCGCUGGGGCCGAUAAAGAUGAUGUGAUGAACUUCAGCGCCUGCUUAAACUGGUCCAUGCUUUGGCCGAAGAGCCCAAUUUGUUUGGGGGCGGGGUACACCACCCCACAGAAAACACCGUGAGUCAUGUCGACGCCAAGCCAUGGCAAGACCGCCGCAACGCUACCGCCGUCAGCUGAUUCGGACAUGCAUAUGGCACAGGAACCGGACGACGACGACGAUACAAUUUCCAUCGUUGAUAAGUGCAUCAACGAACAUGGGUACGGUGACGAUGACGACUUGUUCAGGCCUCCUUCUCAAGAAUCCAACCCUGCAAAAGACGAUGGCGAUCUAGCUGGUACCGCAGAGAAACCCAAUUUCAACAGGCGUCGGUUGUUCAGUUCUGAGGAGACACCUCCAGCUCCCGCCUUCACCGAGACUCAAAUAGCAGAGGUGCUAAAUAUUAUCAGCCCCAACAGACUCAAGAAGUUGGUCUCUGAGCAGAACUCGAUCCCAUUACAGUAGAAGAAGCAGAAGGGACAGAAAAGAAAAACUAACAAGGGUGCGAGCCAGCCGGCACCGAGUACGAUCCGUGCUCAGGACGGGCCACCAAUAUCUACGUAUAUUGAGAGGAGGGUGCAUCUGGCGGGUAGGCCGAUGCUACCGACUAAUCUGCUCAAUGCUGCAAACAGUGCUAUGCGGAGUCUGCAUGACGCUGUUCUUUAUAUAGAGAAGCGGCGUCUUCCGACAAUGAUGUGGCAUACCCGGUUUUCGUGGCCAAGGUGCCAGAGGGCAAGGGCUUAGUCGAUAGCAACAUCGGGCAUAUGAUCGUCCUGCGGUUUGAUGACAUCUUCGCUAUGCUUAAUCUUUAUCCACUGCACUACACCUUCAUUCGGCUAUUUUCGUUCAGUAUGGAGAUGCGGAUCAUUAGAGACAAGACCCUGGACAUCGUGAUAGUCGACCCCUUCUACAUGCGUGCCAAGCUCUUGGAUGGCGCUUGGGACCGGCAAGUCGCGAGUUCAUACCUCGAAGGCGUCAUUCUGGCGAACGCAGAUAAGGAUAACUUACUCGUGCCUUACUUUUCUGAGUAAGUCAUCCCCUCAUCGCCUCGUAACAUAUGAUUUCUUAGAUUUUGAUCGUUCUUUUUUUCUAACAUUCCGUGUUUUGUGCAGUGACACACAUUGCACACUCAUCCUCUUCAGCCUGAAAUAUUCCCUGGCCACGUAUUUGGACUCGGACCGUCAGUCGAAGAAAGACUACACAAAUAUCAAGAAAGUUCUUGAUGAUGUCCUUCCUGGCUACGCCAAAUCUGGAGGCACCUUCAGGAGGCCAAUUCUUAGGUAUGGCAAGCACGUGUUCACCCACAAACGACGUUCCCCUGCGUCAAGAAGCCGCCUGGCAGUCAGAAGGAUACUUACUACGCCCUCCAUCACAUGCGGGCGAUCGUACGGGACCAACAUCACCGUAUGCUACCAAAUGAGCUCAAAGAUUGGGCCGCACGCUUGUCGGCAAUCCAGGACGAGGACAUCAGACAAGAAUUCUUUCGCAUCCAGUCGGAGUUGGCGGAAAUCAUCUAUCAAGAUGUCCUUGCUAGAUCGGGGCAGUUCUACCUAAACUGUCAACCGUCCAACAUUGAAAUUGACACAACGCUACAAAUGCAGGCUGACAACGACCGCACAUUCAUGACCAUCACGAAAGACGGCGGCUUCAUCCACGCUCCAUUCCCUGAGUCGAGUCGAAAGUACUGAUGCUAUGUUGUAAUUAAANNNNNNNNNNNNNNNNNNNNNNNNNNNNNNNNNNNNNNNNNNNNNNNNNNNNNNNNNNNNNNNNNNNNNNNNNNNNNNNNNNNNNNNNNNNNNNNNNNNNUAGUAAGGUGUUGUGGAUCUAGAAAUACUUGUGUUGAAGUUAGUGAUUCCCGUAGCAUGCACGUAUGGUGAACCGCUAUGUGAUGAAGUCUGAGCAUGAUUAGUCUAUUGAUUGUCCUCCUUUGUGUGGCGGUCGGGAUCGCGCGAUGGUUUAUACCUACCAACCCUUCCCCUAGGAGUAUGAGUUGAAUGCUUUGUUUCGAUUACUACUAAAACUUUUGCAACAAGUAUAUGAGUUCUUCAUGACUAAUGUUGAGUCCAUGGUUUAGAUGCACUUUCACCUUCCACCAUCACUAUCUUCUUUAGUAUCGUGCAACUUUCACCGGUGCACAAAACCCACCAUAUAGCCUCCCUCAAAACAGACACCAUACCUACCUACUAUGGAUUUUUCAAAGCCAUUCCGACAUAUAUUGACAUGCAACUAUCACCAUGACAUGUGCCACCACUUCUACAUUGCCAUUGCAUGAUCAUAAGAUAUCUAGCAUGAUGUUUCCAUUGAUGUCUAUGCCAUGCUAGAUCAUUGUCACGAUACACUACCGAAGGCAUUCCAUAUAGAGUCAUCAUUGCUCUAAGUUUUGAGUUGUAAGUGUGAUGAUCAUCAUUGAUGGAGCAUUGUCCCAUGUGAGGAAAUAAAGGAGGCCAGCGAAGCCCAUUUACAAAAAUAGGCCAAAGAUGCCCACCAAAAAAAAGAGGCCAAAGAGCCCACCAAAAAAAUGAGAGAAAAAGAGAGAAGGGACAAUGCUACUAUCUCCUUUCCACACUUGUGCUUCAUAUUAAGCACCAUGAUCUUCAUGAUUGAGAGUCUCUCGUUUUGUCACCACCAUAUAGCUAGUGGGAAAUUUUCAUUAUAUAACUUGGCUUGUAUAUUCCAAUGAUGGGCUUCUUCAAAAUUGCCUUAGGUUUUCAUGAGCAAGCAAGUUGGAUGCACACCCACUAGUUUUCUUUAAGAGCUUUCACAUACUCUUAGCUCUAGUGCAUCAUUUGUAUGGCAAUCCCUACUCAUUCACGUUGAUAUCUAUUGAUGAGCAUCUCCAUAGCUCAUUGAUAUGCCUAGUCAAUGUGACCAUCUUCUUCUUGUUUGCCUUGGAACCUCCACCACACUCCAUUCCACUUUUAGUGCUAAAACCAUGGCUCACGCUCAUGUAUUGCGUGAGAAUUGAAAAAGUUUGAGAAAGUAAAGGUGUGAAAACAAUUACUUGGCCAAUACCGAGGUUGUGCAUGAUUUAAAUUCAUUGUGCNNNNNNNNNNNNNNNNNNNNNNNNNNNNNNNNNNNNNNNNNNNNNNNNNNNNNNNNNNNNNNNNNNNNNNNNNNNNNNNNNNNNNNNNNNNNNNNNNNNNCAUGCAUGAAGAGCUACGCAACUUUGAGAGGAACCAAGUUUGGACACUUGUCGAAAAACCAGAAGGCGAGCAGAAUAUCAUUGGUACAAUAUGUGUGUUUCGGAACAAGCAAUAUGAAGAGGGACAAGUUGUAUGCAACAAAGCACGUCUCGUAGCCCAAGGAUACACGCAAGUCGAAUGUAUGGACUAUGGUGAUACUUAUGCUCCUAUCUGUAGACUUGAAUCCAUUUGUAUUCUUCUAGCUUAUGCUAAUCAAUAUGAUAUAACUCUCUACCAAAUGGAUAUUAAAAGUUCCUUUCUCAAUGGAUAAAUUCAAGAGGAAGUUUAUGUUAAAUAUACUCCUGGUUUUGUGAAACCUAAGAAACCUGGUCAUGUUUACAAACUUCGCAAAGCUUUAUAUGGCCUUAAACAGGCACCUAGAGCUUGGUACAAAUGCCUAACGAAGUUUCUCAUUGAAAAGGGUUUUGAGAUUGGCAAUAUUGAUGCAACCUUAUUCACUAAAAGAGUAAAUGGAGAACUAUUUGUUUGUCAAAUAUAUGUAGAUGAUAUUAUCUUUGGUUUCUACUAACCCUCAUUUUAGUGAAAAGUUUGGAAAGCUUAUGUGAGAGAAGUACGAGAUGUCCAUGAUGAGUGAACUAAAGUUCUUCCUUGCAGUCGAGAGAAGGUACGUUCAUCUCUCAAACCAAGUACACCAAGGACUUGAUGAAGAAGUUCAACAUGCAAAGAAUGCAAAGGUAUGAGAACCCCCAUGCCUACUAUUAGACAUCUUGACCUCACUAAGGAUGAUGCACCCGUUGAUCAAAAGGUUUAUCGAUCAAUGAUAGGAUCAUCAUUAUAUCUAUGUGCCUCUCGUCCUCAUAUCAUGCUAAGUGUUUGCGUGUGUGCCUGCUAUCAAGUAACACCUAAAGAAUGUCAUCUAUUGUUAGUGAAAAGGAUAGUGAGAUACCAUAUACAUACACCAAACUUUGCCAUAUGGUAUCCCAAGGGAUCUUAUUUUGAUCUUGUUGGCUAUUCUGACUCGGAUUGUGCUGGAGACAAGGUUAAUAGAAAAUCCACCUCGGGUACAUGUCAAUUUCUUGGGAGAUCUCUUGUCUCUUGGACAUCCAAGAAACAAAACUCGGUAUCCUUAUCAACUGCCGAAGGUGAACAUAUUGCCGCUGGAUCAUGAUGUGCUCAAUUACUAUAGAUGUCUCAAACGCUUAAGGAUUAUGGCAUUCAUGUUAGAAAAGUCCCAUUGUUGUGUGACAAUGAAAGUGCUAUUAAGAUUGCAUAUAAUCAUGUGCAACAUUCUAGCACUAAGCACAUCCAAGUGCGACAUCAUUUCAUCCGUGAUCUGGUUGCCAAAGGAGAUAUUGAUCUCAGGCAUGUUCGUACUGACAAACAACUGGCUGAUAUUUUCACCAAACCACUUGAUAAGAAACUGUUAUGUCACUUGAGGAGUGAGUUGAACAUCAUUGAUGCUUCAAACUUGAGCUAGACUCACGCGAAUGCAUGAAAGGGCAUGAGCUUGACUGACUAUUCCUUGCUGCCAUUGAUGUGGCCAUCUUAUGUCUUGGAAAUUAUGCUCCCUUGUAUUGCAUCUAACCUUUUGUAUGUACUUGUAUGAAAUACACUCCACAAGAUCGCAACCAACUCCAAACAAAAGCAAUCUUGACAUGGACAAGUAUCAACAACCUAUUUCCUCGUAGAUGAAGGAAGAAGACAACAAAGUCAUAUCCUUGACAAUACUAUGAUUACGAAUUUCACUCAUGUCAUUUGGAUAUAUUAUGUUCUUCCUUGCGUGACUAACCAUUGUAGGUGAAAAGUGAACCAAAACGACAUGGAUUGCUCCCAACACAAGAUGAUCUUCAUCAACCUUGAGCAUCCACAACAAUUUCACCUACAUGCUACGUCAACAACAUCAUUCGAAGGUAUGUACUCAUNNNNNNNNNNNNNNNNNNNNNNNNNNNNNNNNNNNNNNNNNNNNNNNNNNNNNNNNNNNNNNNNNNNNNNNNNNNNNNNNNNNNNNNNNNNNNNNNNNNNUCUCAAACUUUUUAUAACUAUCACGCAAUACAUGAGCGUGAGCCAUGAACAUAGCACUAUAGGUGGAAUAGUGUGUGGUGGUGGUUGUGAGACAAAAAGGAGGAGAUGGUCACAUUGACUCGGCGUAUCAAAGGGCUAUGGAGAUGCCCAUUAAUAGAUAUCAAUGUGAAUGAGUAGGGAUUGCCAUACAAGGGAUGCACUAGAGCUAUAAGUAUGUGAAAGCUCAAAAGGAGAACUAGUGGGUGUGCAUCAAACUUGCUUGCUCACGAACACCUAGGGAAAUUUUGAGGAACCCAUCAUUGGAAUAUACAAGCCAAGUUAUAUAAUGAAGAUUCCCACCAGCAUAUGGUGGUGACAAAGCAAGAAGCUCUCAAUCAUGAAGAACAUGGUGCUAUUAUGAAGCACAAGUGUGGAAAAAAUAUUAGCAUUGUCCCUUCUCUCUUUUUCUCUCUUUUUUUAUUUGGGCUCUUAGGCCUCUUCUCUUUUUUUCUUUUUUUUCUUUGGGAUCUUUGGCCUCUUUUUUCCUCACAUGGGACAAUGCUCUAGUAAUGGUGAUCAUCACACUUUUAUUUACUCACAACUCAAAGCUCAAAAUGAUGAUGACUCUAUAGGAAAUGCCUCCGGCAGUGUACCAGGAUGUGCAACGAUCUAGCAUGGCGUAUGACGUUGAAAACAUCUCGCUAGCUAUCUUACGAUCAUGCAAUGGCAAUAUGAGAGUGACGACACAAGUCAUGAGAUGGAACGGUGGGAGUUGCAUGGCAAUAUAUCUCGGAAUGGCUAUGAAAAUGCCAUAGUAGGUAGGUAUGGUGGGUGUUUUGAGGAAGGCGUAUGGUGGGUUUGUGCACCGGCGAGAAUUGCGCGGCACUAGAGAGGCUAGCAAUGGUGAAAGGUGAAAGUGCAUCUAUACCAUGGACUCACCUUAUUCAUGAAGAACUCACAUACUUGUUGCAAAAGUUUUUAUUAGUAAUCAGAAUAAAGUGCUAAACGCAUACUCCUAGAGGAAGGGUUGGUAGGUGUUAACCAUCACGCGAUCCCGACCUCAACACAAAGGAUGACAAUCAAUAGAUCAAUUAUGCUCCGACUUCCUAACAUAUCAGUUCACCAUACGUGCAUGCUACGAGAAUCACUAACUUCAACAUAAGUAUUUCUAGAUUCACAACACCCUACUAACAUAGCUCUUAAUAUUACCAAAUCCACGUCUCAAAACUAAUUGAGAGGAAUCAAAACUUCUCUUUCUACUCAAUGCACAUGAAGAUGGAGGUUUUGUAUCCUCUUUGGGUACCAAUCACCUUUGGGACUACUUUCGUAGCAUAAGCCAACUACCAAGUCACACAUCGUCGUGCUCUAAAAGAUAUAAGUGAAGCACAUAGAGAAAAAGUAUCUAGCUCAAAAGAUAUAAGUGAAGCACUAUGAGCAUUCUAGCAAAAUCACGAUUAGUGCAUGUCUCUCUCUCUCUAAAAAGGUGUGCAGAAAGGAUGAUUGUGACACAACAAAAAUAAAAGACUCCUAUGAUACAAGACGCUCCAAGCAAAACACAUAUCAUGUGGUGAAUAAAAAUAUAGCUCCAAGUAAUAUUACCGAUGGAUUGGAGACGAAAGAGGGGAUGUCUUCCCGGGGCAUCCCCAAGCUUAGGCUUUUUGGUGUCCUUGAAUUUGGCUUGGGAUGCCUUGGGGAUCCCCAAGCUUCAGCUCUUUCCACUCCUUAUCUCUUUGUCCAUGCGAACAUCUCCCAAAACUUGAAAACUUCACAACACAAAACUUAAACAGAAAUUUGUGAUAACAUUAGCACAAGAAAACAAACUACCACCUCUUUUGGUACUGUAGCAAACUUGAAUUCUAUCUAUAUUGGUGUUGGGCUACUGUAUUCUCACUUUUCCAUGGCUAGUACCCCCCGACACUAACCAUAGUUUCAUCAAAACAAGCAACCAACUCAACAAAAACAUAAUUUGUCAAAAACAGAGCAAUAUGUAGCAAUCUGUAUACUUCGUAUAGUUCUGGUACCUCAACAAUUCUGAAAAAUUACGACUGCCUGGGCAAAAGACAUAUCAACAAGCAGCAAAAAGAAUGAACUCAAAAGCUCUUUAUGACUAAAAAUGAUAAAUCAUCUCGUGAGCGAAAAGUUUUUGUGUUUUUCCAGCAGGAUCAAACAACCAUUACCAAGACUAGUUAUAAAGGUUUUGCUUGGCUCAAACACAAAAAGAAACACAAAAAACACAAUCACAACAGAAUUAUGAUGGUGUGGACACAAAAAAAUAGAAAGAAAAAGAUAAAUUCAUUGGGUUUCCUCCCAACAAGCGCUAUUGUUUAACGCCCUUAGCUAGGCAUAAAUUCGAUAGAAUCACGUAUCGUCGUCUUUGGUGCUCAAACCAUAAUUGGCCCUCAUCAUGGAUUCAUAAGGCAAUCUUAUUUUGUUUCUAGGAAAGUGGUCCAUGCCCUUCUUUAAAGGAAAUUGAAAUCUAAUAUUCCCUUCCUUCAUAUCGAUGAUAGCACCGAUAGUCCUUAGGAAAGGUCUACCAAGAAUAAUAGGGCAUGUAGGAUUGCAAUCAAUGUCAAGCACAAUGAAAUCCAUGGGUACAUAGUUCUAUUUGCAAUAAUAAGAACAUCAUUGAUCCUUCGCAUGGGUUUCUUGACAGUAGAAUCAGCAAGAUGCAAAUUAAGAGAACACUCUUCAAUCUCAUUAAAACCCAGAACAUCACAUAAAGACUUUGGAAUCGCGGAAACACUAGCACCCAAAUCACAUAAAGCAUUGCAUUCAUAGUUUUUGAUUUUGAUUUUGAUGGUAGGUUCCCACUCAUCAUGAAGCUUUCUAGGGAUAGAGACUGUUGGGGAACGUCGCAUGGGAAACAAAAAAAUUCCUACGAGCACGAAGACCUAUCAUGGUGAUGUCCAUCUACGAGAGGGGAUGAGUGAUCUACGUACCCUUGUAGACCGUACAGCAGAAGCGUUAGAGAACGCGGUUGAUGUAGUGGAACGUCCUCACGUCCCUCGAUCCGCCCCGCGAACAAUCCCGCGAUCAGUCCCACGAUCUAGUACCGAACGGACGGCACCUCCGCGUUCAGCACACGUACAGCUCGACGAUGAUCUCGGCCUUCUUGAUCCAGCAAGAGAGACAGGGAGGUAGAAGAGUUCUCCGGCAGCGUGACGGCGCUCCGGAGGUUGGUGAUGACCUUGUCUCAGCAGGGCUCCGCCCGAGCUCCGCAGAAACGCGAUCUAGAGGAAAAACCGUGGAGGUAUGUGGUCGGGCUGCCAUGGAAAAGUCGUCUCAAAUCAGCCCUAAAACCUCCGUAUAUAUAGGUGGGAGGGAGGGGGCCUUGCCAAGGAGCCCCAAGGGGGUCGGCCGAGUCCAAGGGGGAGGACUCUCCCCGCCCCCAAACCGAGUUGGACUAGGUUUGGUGGGAGGGAGUCCCCCUUCCUUCCCACCUCCUCCUCUUUUUUUUUCUUUCUCUCUUGAUUUUCUUCUCCUUGGCGCAUAGGCCACUUGUGGGCUGUCCCACCAGCCCACUAAGGGCUGGUGUGUCUCCCCCAAGGCCUAUGGGCUUCCCCGGGGUGGGUUGCCACCCCCCAGUGAACUCCCGGAACCCAUUCGUCAUUCCCGGGACUCCGAACAACAUUCGGUAACCAACCAUAUAACUCAAAUACGCAUAAAACAACGUCGAACCUUAAGUGUGCAGACCCUGCGGGUUCAAGAACUAUGUAGACAUGACCCGAGAGACUCCUCGGUCAAUAUCCAAUAGGGGGACCUGGAUGCCCAUAUUGGAUCCUACAUAUUCUACGAAGAUCUUAUCGUUUGAACCUCAGUGCCAAGGAUUCGUAUAAUCCCGUAUGUCAUUCCCUUUGUCCUUCGGUAUGUUACUUGCCCGAGAUUCGAUCGUCAGUAUCGGCAUACCUAUUUCAAUCUCGUUUACCGGCAAGUCUCUUUACUCGUUCCGUAAUACAAGAUCCCGCAACUUACACUAAGUUACAUUGCUUGCAAGGCUUGUGUGUGAUGUUGUAUUACCGAGUGGACCCCGAGAUACCUCUCCGUCACACGGAGUGACAAAUCCCAGUCUUGAUCCAUACUAACUCAACCAACACCUUUGGAGAUACCUGUAGAGCAUCUUUAUAGUCACCCAGUUACGUUGCGACGUUUGAUACACACAAAGCAUUCCUCCGGUGUCAGUGAGUUAUAUGAUCUCAUGGUCAUAGGAAUAAAUACUUGACACGCAGAAAACAGUAGCAACAAAAUGACACGAUCAACAUGCUACGUCUAUUAGUUUGGGUCUAGUCCAUCACGUGAUUCUCCCAAUGACGUGAUCCAGUUAUCAAGUAACAACACUUUGUUCAUAAUCAGAAGACACUGACUAUCAUCGGUCAACUAGCUAGCCAACUAGAGGCAUGCUAGGGAUGGUGUUUUGUCUAUGUAUCCACACAUGUAAAUGAGUCUUCAUUCAAUACAAUUAUAGCAUGGAUAAUAAACUAUUAUCUUGAUACAGGAAUUAUAAUAAUAACUAUAUUUAUUAUUGCCUCUAGGGCAUAAUUCCAACAGUCUCCCACUUGCACUAGAGUCAAUAAUCUAGCCCUCACAUCACCAUGUGAAUUACAUUGUAAUAAAUCUAACACCCAUACAGCUUUGGUGUCGAUCAUGUUUUGGCCGUGGAAGAGGUUUAGUCAGCGGGUCUGCUACAUUCAGAUCCUUGUGCACUUUGCAUAUAUUUACGUCCUCUUCCUCGACGUAGUCGCGGAUGAGGUUGAAGCGUCGUUUGAUGUGUCUGGUCUUCUUGUGAAACCGUGGUUCCUUUGCUAAGGCAAUGGCACCCGUGUUGUCACAGAACAAGGUUAUUGGAUCCAGUGCACUUGGCACCACUCCAAGAUCCGUCAUGAACUGCUUCAUCCAGACACCCUCCUUAGCCGCCUCCGAGGCAGCCAUGUACUCCGCUUCACAUGUAGAAUCUGCUACGACGCUUUGCUUGGAACUGCACCAGCUUACUGCACCCCCAUUAAGAAUAAAUACGUAUCCGGUUUGCAACUUAGAGUCGUCCGGAUCUGUGUCAAAGCUUGCAUCGACGUAACCUUUUACGGCGAGCUCUUCGUCACCUCCAUACACGAGAAACAUCUCCUUAGUCCUUUUCAGGUACUUCAGGAUAUUCUUGACCGCUGUCCAGUGAUCCACUCCUGGAUUACUCUGGAACCUACCUGCCAUACUUAUGGCCAGGCUAACAUCCGGUCUAGUGCACAACAUCGCAUACAUGAUAGAACCUAUGGCUGAAGCAUAGGGGACGGAGCGCAUAUGCUCUCUAUCUUCAUCAGUUGCUGGGCACUGAGUCUUACUCAAUCUCGUACCUUGUAAAACUGGAAAGAACCCUUUCUUGGACUAUUCCAUUUUGAACCUCUUCAAAAUUUUAUCAAGGUAUGUGCUUUGUGAAAGUCCUAUCAGGCGUUUUGAUCUAUCCCUAUAGAUCUUAAUGCCUAGAAUGUAAGCAGCUUCUCCUAGGUCCUUCAUAGAGAAACUUUUAUUCAAGUAACCUUUUAUGCUCUCCAAAAGCUCUAUGUUGUUUCCAAUCAGUAAUAUGUCAUCCACAUAUAAUAUUAGAAACGCCAUAGAGCUCCCACUCACUUUCUUGUAAAUACAAGAUUCUCCAACCACUUGUAUAAACCCAAAUGCCUUGAUCACCUCAUCAAAGCGUUUGUUCCAACUCCGAGAUGCUUGCACCAGUCCAUAAAUGGAUCGCUGGAGCUUGCACACCUUGUUAGCAUUCUUAGGAUCGACAAAACCUUUGGGUUGCAUCAUAUACAACUCUUCCUUAAGGAAACCGUUAAGGAACGCCGUUUUGACAUCCAUCUGCCAGAUUUCAUAAUCGAAAAAUGCAGCUAUUGCUAACAUGAUUCUGACGGACUUAAGCAUUGCUACGGGUGAGAAAGUCUCAUCGUAGUCAAUUCCUGGAACUUGUGAAAAACCUUUGCCACAAGUAGAGCUUUAUAAACGGUCACAUUACCGUCAGCGUCCGUCUUCUUCUUAAAGAUCCAUUUGUUCUGAAUAGCCUUGCGGCCCUCAGGUAGUAUCUCCAAAGUCCACACUUUGUUCUCAUACAUGGAUCCUAUCUCGGAUUUCAUGGCUUCUAGCCAUUUGUUGGAAUCUGGGCCCACCAUUGCUUCUUCAUAAUUUGCAGGUUCAUUGUUGUCCAACAACAUGAUUGAUAAGACGGGAUUACCGUACCACUCUGGAGCAGCGUGUGAUCUCGUCGACCUGCAUGGUUCAACAGAAACUUGAACUGGAGUUUCAUGAUCAUCAUCAUUAACUUCCUCCUCAACCGGCGUCGCAACGACAGAGGUUUCCCCUUGCCCUGCGCCACCAUCCAGAGGGAUGAGAGUUCGACAACCUCGUCAAGUUCUAUCUUCCUCCCACUCAAUUCUCUCGAGAGAAACUCCUUCUCGAGAAAAGUUCCGUUCUUAGCAACAAACACUUUGCCCUCGGAUUUGAGAUAGAAGGUGUACCCAACUGUCUCUUUUGGGUAACCUAUGAAGAAGCAUUUUUCCGCUUUGGGUUCCAGCUUUUCAGGCUGAAGCUUUUUGACAUAAGCAUCACAUCCCCAAACUUUAAGAAGCGACAACUUUGGCCUUUUGCCAUACCACAGUUCGUAUGGUGUCGUCUCAACGGAUUUUGAUGGUGCCUUAUUUAAAGUGAAUGCAGCUGUUUCUAAUGCAUAACGCCAAAAUGAUAACGGCAAAUCAGUAAGAGACAUCAUAGAUCGCACCAUCUCUAACAAAGUACGAUUACGACGUUCGGACACACCAUUACGCUGUGGUGUUCCAGGCGGUGUUAACUGUGAAACAAUUCCACAUUGUCUUAAGUGAGCACCAAACUCGAAACUCAGAUAUUCACCCCCACGAUCAGACCGUAGGAACUUGAUCUUCUUGUUACGGUGAUUUUCCACUUCACUCUGAAAUUGCUUGAACUUUUCAAAUGUUUUAGACUUGUGCUUCAUCAAGUAGACAUAACCAUAUCUACUUAAAUCGUCAGUGAAGGUGAGAAAAUAACGAUAUCCGUCGCGUGCCUCCACGCUCAUUGGACCACACACAUCGGUAUGUAUGAUCUCCAAUAAGUCACUUGCACGCUCCAUUGUUCCGGAGAAUGGAGUCUUAGUCAUCUUGCCCAUGAGGCAUGGUUCGCACGUGUCAAGUGAAUCAAAGUCAAGUGACUCCAAAAGUACAUCAGCAUGGAGUUUCUUCAUGUGUUUUACACCAAUAUGACCCAAGCGGCAGUGCCACAAAAAUAUGGCGCUAUCAUUGUUUACUCUAACUCUUUUGGUCUCAAUGUUAUGUAUAUGCGUAUCGUUAUCAAAAUUCAUUAUGAACAAUCCUCUCACAUUCGGUGCAUGACCAUAAAAGAUGUUACUCAUAGAAAUAGAACAACCAUUAUUCUCAGACUUAAAAGAGUAACCGUCUCGCAAUAAACAAGAUCCAGAUAUAAUGUUCAUGCUCAACGCAGGCACUAAAUAACAAUGAUUUAAGUUCAUCACUAAUCCCAAUGGUAGCUGAAGUGACACUGUGCCGACGGCGAUUGCAUCAACCUUGGAACCAUUUCCUACGCGCAUCGUCACUUUGUCUUUCGCCAGCCUUCGUCUAUUCCGCGGUUCCUGCUUCGAGUUGCAAAUAUGAGCAAUAGAACCGGUAUCGAAUACCCGGGCACUACUACGAGAGCCGGUUAAGUACACAUCAAUAACAUGUAUAUCAAAUAUACCUGAUUUUUCUUUGCCCGCCUUCUUAUCUGCCAGAUACUUGGGGCAAUUGCGCUUCCAGUGACCCAUACCCUUGCAAUAGAAACACUCCGUUUCAGGCUUAGGUCCAGCCUUGGGUUUCUUCGGCAGAUUGGCAACAGGCUUGCCGCUCUUCUUCAAAUUGCCCUUAUUGCCUUUGUCGUUUCUCUUGAAACUAGUGGUCUUAUUCACCAUCAACACUUGAUGCUCUUUACGGAGUUCAGACUCUGCGACUUUCAACAUCGCAAACAACUCGCCGGGAGACUUGUUCAUCCCUUGCAUGUUGUAGUUCAACACAAAGCCUUUGUAGCUUGGCGGCAGUGAUUGAAGGAUUCUGUGAGUGAUAGCUUCUUGCGGGAGUUCAAUCCCCAGCUCAGCUAGACGGUUUGAGUACCCAGAUAUUUUGAGCACAUGUUCACUAACAGACGAGUUUUCCUCCAUCAUGCAAGCAUAGAAUUUAUCGGAGGUCUCAUACCUCUCGAUCCGGGCGUUCUUCUGAAAGAUAAACUCCAACUCCUGGAACAUCUCAAAUGCUCCAUGACGCUCAAAGCGACGUUGAAGUACCGGUUCUAAGCCAUACAAGACUGCACAUUGAACUAUUGAGUAGUCCUCCUUACGUGCUAACCAAGCGUUCUUAACAUCCUGAUCAGCCGUAGCGGGUGGUUCAUCUCCUAGCGCAGCAUUAAGGACAUAAUCCUUCUUCCCAGCUUGUAAGAUUAGCUUAAGAUUACGAGCCCAGUCUACAAAGUUGCUUCCAUCAUCUUUCAACUUAGCUUUCUCUAGGAACGUAUUAAAAUUCAGGAUGACUGUCGCGUGAGCCAUGAUCUACAACACAAAUAUAUUCAAAGUGGACUUAGACUAUGUUCAAGAUAAUUAGAGUUCAACUUAAUCAAAUUAUAUGCUAAACUCCCACUCAAAAAGUACAUCUCUCUAGUCAUUUGAGUGGUUCAUGAUCCACUUACACUAUCCCAAGUCCGAUCAUCACGUGAGUUGAGUAUAGUUUCAGUGGUAAGCAUCCCUAUGCUAAUCAUAUCAACUAUAUGAUUCAUGAUCGACCUUUCGGUCUCAUGUGUUCCGAGGCCAUGUCUGCACAUGCUAGGCUCAUCAAGCUUAACCCGAGUGUUCGCGUGCGCAACUGUUUUGCACCCGUUGUAUGUGAACGUUGAGUCUAUCACACCCGAUCAUCACGUGGUGUCUCGAAACGACGAACUGUAGCAACGGUGCACAGUCGGGGAGAACACAAUUUCGUCUUGAUAUUUUAGUGAGAGAUCACCUCAUAAUGCUACCGUCGUUCUAAGCAAAAUAAGGUGCAUAAAAGGAUUAACAUCACAUGCAAUUCAUAAGUGACAUGAUAUGGCCAUCAUCACGUGCUUCUUGAUCUCCAUCACCAAAGCACCGGCACGAUCUUCUUGUCACCGGCGCCACACCAUGAUCAUCCAUCAACGUGUUGCCAUCGGGGUUGUCGUGCUACUCAUGCUAUUACUACUAAAGCUACAUCCUAGCAAAAUAGUAAACGCAUCUGCAAGCACAAACGUUAGUAUAAAGACAACCCUAUGGCUCCUGCCGGUUGCCGUACCAUCGACGUUCAAGUCGAUAUUUCUAUUACAACAUGAUCAUCUCAUACAUCCAAUAUAUCACAUCACAUUGUUGGCCAUAUCACAUCACAAUCAUACCCUGCAAAAACAAGUUAGACGUCCUCUAAUUUUGUUGUUGCAUGUUUUACGUGGUGACCAAGGGUAUCUAGUAGGAUCGCAUCUUACUUACGCAAACACCACAACGAAGAUAUAUGAGUUGCUAUUUAACCUCAUCCAAGGACCUCCUCGGUCAAAUCCGAUUCAACUAAAGUUGGAGAAACCGACACUUGCCAGUCAUCUUUGAGCAAAGGGGGUUACUCGUAACGAUGAAACCAGUCUCUCGUAAGCGUACGAGUAAUGUCGGUCCAAGCCGCUUCAAUCCAACAAUACCGAGGAAUCAAGAAAAGACUAAGGAGGGCAGCAAAACGCACAUCGCUGCCCACAAAAACUUUUGUGUUCUACUCGAGAAGACAUCUACGCAUGAACCUAGCUCAUGAUGCCACUUUUGAGGAACGUCGCAUGGGAAACAAAAAUUAUCCUACGCGGACGAAGACCUAUCAUGGUGAUGUCCAUCUACGAGAGGGGAUGAGUGAUCUACGUACCCUUGUAGACCGUACAGCAGAAGCGUUAGAGAACGCGGUUGAUGUAGUGGAACGUCCUCACGUCCCUCGAUCCGCCCCGCGAACAAUCCCGCGAUCAGUCCCACGAUCUAGUACCGAACGGGCGGCACCUCCGCGUUCAGCACACGUUCAGCUCGACGAUGAUCUCGGCCUUCUUGAUCCAGCAAGAGAGACGGAGAGGUAGAAGAGUUCUCCGGCAGCGUGACGGCGCUCCGGAGGUUGGUGAUGACCUUGUCUCAGCAGGGCUCCGCCCGAGCUCCGCAGAAACGCGAUCUAGAGGAAAAACCGUGGAGGUAUGUGGUCGGGCUGCCAUGGAAAAGUCGUCUCAAAUCAGCCCUAAAACCUCCGUAUAUAUAGGUGGGAGGGAGGGGGCCUUGCCAAGGAGCCCCAAGGGGGUCGGCCGAGUCCAAGGGGGAGGACUCUCCCCGCCCCCAAACCGAGUUGGACUAGGUUUGGUGGGAGGGAGUCCCCCUUCCUUCCCACAUCCUCCUCUUUUUUUUCUUUCUCUCUUGAUUUUCUUCUCCUUGGCGCAUAGGGCACUUGUGGGCUAUCCCACCAGCCCACUAAGGGCUGGUGUGUCUCCCCCAAGGCCUAUGGGCUUCCCCGGGGUGGGUUGCCACCCCCCAGUGAACUCCCGGAACCCAUUCGUCAUUCCCGGUACAUUCCCGGUAACUCCGAAAACCUUCCGGUAAUCAAAUGAGGUCAUCCUAUAUAUCAAUCUUCGUUUCCGGACCAUUCCGGAAACCCUCGUGACGUCCGUGAUCUCAUCCGGGACUCCGAACAACAUUCGGUAACCAACCAUAUAACUCAAAUACGCAUAAAACAACGUCGAACCUUAAGUGUGCAGACCCUGCGGGUUCAAGAACUAUGUAGACAUGACCCGAGAGACUCCUCGGUCAAUAUCCAAUAGGGGGACCUGGAUGCCCAUAUUGGAUCCUACAUAUUCUACGAAGAUCUUAUCGUUUGAACCUCAGUGCCAAGGAUUCGUAUAAUCCCGUAUGUCAUUCCCUUUGUCCUUCGGUAUGUUACUUGCCCGAGAUUCGAUCGUCAGUAUCGGCAUACCUAUUUCAAUCUCGUUUACCGGCAAGUCUCUUUACUCGUUCCGUAAUACAAGAUCCCGCAACUUACACUAAGUUACAUUGCUUGCAAGGCUUGUGUGUGAUGUUGUAUUACCGAGUGGACCCCGAGAUACCUCUCCGUCACACGGAGUGACAAAUCCCAGUCUUGAUCCAUACUAACUCAACCAACACCUUUGGAGAUACCUGUAGAGCAUCUUUAUAGUCACCCAGUUACGUUGCGACGUUUGAUACACACAAAGCAUUCCUCCGGUGUCAGUGAGUUAUAUGAUCUCAUGGUCAUAGGAAUAAAUACUUGACACGCAGAAAACAGUAGCAACAAAAUGACACGAUCAACAUGCUACGUCUAUUAGUUUGGGUCUAGUCCAUCACGUGAUUCUCCCAAUGACGUGAUCCAGUUAUCAAGUAACAACACUUUGUUCAUAAUCAGAAGACACUGACUAUCAUCGAUCAACUGGCUAGCCAACUAGAGGCAUGCUAGGGAUGGUGUUUUGUCUAUGUAUCCACACAUGUAAAUGAGUCUUCAUUCAAUACAAUUAUAGCAUGGAUAAUAAACUAUUAUCUUGAUACAGGAAUUAUAAUAAUAACUAUAUUUAUUAUUGCCUCUAGGGCAUAAUUCCAACAGAGACUUCCAAUUCAAGUUUCUCUUCAAGAGAUUUUAUCAUAGCUUCGACGAUAUGAUCGGUAAAGGCCUUUUUUUGGCUAUUAGCGUGUGGCGAGUUUAACAUGGAUUGCAUCAAGGAAAUGCAUUCAAUCAAGGAGCAACUAUCAUAAUUGAAUUCCUUGAAAUCCAUAGUAGUAAUUUCAUUACCACUCAAAGUUAUAAUAUCUUCUACUCCACUUUCAAUGCUUUUAGCAUCAAGAUAGAUGGACUCCGUAUCAUUGGGGCACUUUUCAACUAAAUUGGAUUCAUAUCUAGCCCCAUAAUCAUUAGGUUUGUCACAAGAAAACAAAGAUUCAAUGGGAGUCACACCAAGCACUUUAAUAUCUUCGUGAUUCUUAUCACGAGAAGACGCCUUUUUAAGCCAUUCACGUCUAGCACGAAUUUGGGCGGUUCUUUCUUUGCUCUCAAUCAUGGAAACACGCAUAGCUUUCAAAGUUUCAUCCAUAUUGAUCUUGGGAGGAGCACAUCUAACUUUCAAAGCAUCAACAUCACUAGACAUUCUAUCAACGCUCUUAGCCAAAUCGUCAAUUUUGAGUAGCUUUUCCUCUAUGGACGCAUUGAAAAUCUUUCGCGAGUUGAUGAACUGUUUGACAUUACUCUCUAGAUCAGAGGGUAAUCUAUUGUAAUUUCCAUGAGUAUUGUUGUAGGUGUUGCCAAAUCUAUUAGAGGAGUUACUAGCAAAAGGCCUAGGAACAUAGUUUCCUCUAAAAGCAUUGUUGUUGCCAAAAUUAUUCCUACCAACAAAAUUAACGUCCAAGCUAGCGUUGCUACUCUCAAUCAAAGAAGACAAGGCAUAUCAUUAGGAUCUAAAGGAGCACUUCUACUAGCAACCAAAUUCAUUAACUCAUCCAUCUUAGCACUCAACGAGUUAAUUUUUUCUAUAGCGUGUACCAUCUUACUAGUAGGUGACCUUUCAGUGUGCCACUGAGAGUAGUUCGUCAUGAUAUUGUCUAGGAGAUUUGUGGCUUCCCCUAACAUGAUUUCCAUGAAUGUUCCACCUGAGGCGGAGUCCAAAAUAUUUCUAGAAGCGAAAUUCAAGCCAGUGUAGAAGAUUUGUAUAAUCAUCCAAAGACUCAAGCCAUGAGCGGGACAAUUUCUAAUCAUCAAUUUCAUUCUCUCCCAAGAUUGUGCAACAUGUUCAUGAUCAAGAUGCUUGAAAUUCAUGAUAUCAUUACGGAGAGAGAUAAUCUUAGCCGGCGGAAAAUACUUGGAUAUAUAAGCAUCUUUGCACUUAUCCCUUGAAUCGAUACUAUUUUUGGGCAAAGAAGAAAACCAAGUUUUUGCGCGAUCUCGCAACGAGAAAGGAAAAAGCUUCAAUUUAAUCACAUCAUUGUCCACAUCUUUCUUCUUUUGCAUAUCGCAAAGCUCAAUGAAGGUAUUGAGAUGGGAUGCGGCAUCUUCACUAGAAGGCCGGAGAAUUGCUCUUUCAUAACAAGAUUCAGCAAAGCGGCAUUGAUUUCGUAUGACUCCACACUAGUGGCGGGAGCAAUCGGAGUACUAAUAAAAUCAUUAUUAUUAGUAUUCGUGAAGUCACAAAGUUUGGUGUUUUCAUUCAUGGUGACUUCAGAAAGAAAGCAAGCACACAAGCGAACAAAGAGCAUGCGAGAAAAAAGGGCGAACGAAAAGGCAAACGAAAAAAGGGCAAAUUGUGACGUGGGGGAGAGGAAAACGAGAGGCAUCCGGUAAACAAAGUAAACGCAAGAGAUGAGUUUGCGACAACUACUUGGAUAAGUUCUUCACUUGAUCCUCCCCGGCAACGGCGCCAGAAAUUCUUCUGCUACGGCAACAAAAGUCCUUUCCACACAAUGGUGCCAAAAAUCCUUUUGUCGUCUCUUGAGCUUGCGUUGGUUUUUCCCUUGAAGAAGAAAGGGUGAUGCAACACAGGAGUAGUAAGUAUUUCCCUCAGUUUGAGAACCAAGGUAUCAAUCUCGUCAAGUCCAGAGUACCUGCGCAAACACAAAAGAGCUUGCACCCAAUGCUUUAAAGGGGUUGUCAAUCCCUUCAAGAUUGAUUGCAAAGUGAGAUCUGAAGGCGGAAAGUGCAACGCAGAAAAAGAGUAAGGCUGAAAAUAUGGUCUGGAGUAGACCCGGGGGCCAUAGUUUUCACUAGAGGUUCUCUCAAAAUAGCAAAUAUCACGGUGGGUGAACAAAUUACUGUCGAGCAAUUGAUAGAACCGCGCAAAGUCAUGACGAUAUCUAAGGCAAUGAUCAUACACAUAAGCAUCACGCCCGAGACAAGUAGACCAAUACUUUCUGCAUCUACUACUAUUACUCCACACAUCGACCGCUAUCCAGCAUGAAUCUAGUGUAUUGAGUUCAUGACGAACAGAGUAACGCCUUAAGCAAGAUGACGUGAUGUAGAGGGAUAAACUCAAACCAAUGAUGAAAACCCCAUAUUUUUUUCCUUGAUGGCAACAACAUGAUGCGUGCCUCGCUACCCCUUUUGUCCCUGGGUGAGGUCACCGCACGGUAUGAACCCAAAGCCAAGCACUUAUCCCAUUGCAAGAACCAUAGAUCUAGUUGACCAAACAAAACCCACAACUCGAAGAAAAUUACAAGGAUAUGAAAUCAUGCAUAAGAGAGAUCAGAAGAAACUCAAAUAAGAUUCAUAGAUAAUCUGAACAUAAAUCAACAAUUCAUCGGAUCUCGACAAACACACCGCAAGAGAAGAUUACGUCGGAUAGAUCUCCAUGAAGAUCAUGGAGAACUUUGUAUUGAAGAUCCAAGAGAGAGAAGAAGCCAUCUAGUUACUAGCUAUGGACCCGUAGGUCUAUGGUGAACUACUCACGCAUCAUCGGAGAGGUCAUGGUGUUGAAGAAGAAGCCCUCCGUAUCCGAAUCCCCCCUCCGGAAGGGCACCAGAACGUGCCCCAGAUGGGAUCUUGCGGAGACAGAAGCUUGCGGCGGCGGAAAAGUACUUUCGAUGAUCUCCUGAUUUUUUAUGGGAUUUUAGGGAAUAUAUAGGCGCAAAACCAAGGGCAAAGGAGCCUCAGGGAGCCCACAAGCCAGGCGGCGCGAGCCCCCUGGCCGCGCCAUGAGGGCUUGUGGGGUCCCUGGUGGCCCCUGCCCUAAUUCUCCGGCUUCCCAAUCUUUUUAUGUUCCGGAAAAAAUCUUUUUGGUAGUUUCAUUCCGUUUGGAGUCCAUUCAAAAUCGUCCUAUGAAAGGGGUCAAAAACAUGGAAAAACAGGAACUAGCACUUGGCACUGAGUUAAUAAGUUAGUCCCAAAAAAUAUAUAAAAGGCAUGCAAAACAUCCAAAGUUUGACAAGAUAAUAGCAUGAAACCAAAAAAAUUAUAGAUACGUUGGAGCCGUAUAACUAGGCACUGGAGGGCUACCGCCCUUGCCACAGUGCCACCGCCCCCAAGUUCCAGUGCAUUUCGCAUGCGCCAGCGCGGCGUCCAGAUGUCGAAACGCCUGGACACAUGUCUUCACCAGCACAUUGCUGACAAAGACAAGACGUGCAUUUAAUGCAGCUGACAACGGUAGAUGGAUAAGCACCGCCCUAGGUUCACUGUAAUCUCUCGUGAACCUACCACCGAGCAUUGUAGGAGACCCUUUGCCUAAAAAAGGAGGCACUUAGCUCAUUCACAAGGGGUUAGACUUUUCGAACAAUGGCCAGAAGACGAUUAUCAUAAAUCACUGUAAUGAACAACAGAACGCUUAACACGAUCAGACAAGCAGGACGUAGGGUUUUACAUGUAAGUGGCCCGAACCUAGGUAAAAAGGCUUGCCGGGCGUUGAUCGUUAGCUCUGCUCUUGACAUCAUUUUCCCCGCCCUAGGAUCACAAGGGUUUCAUGUUGAUUCCCAUAGGUGUCAACCUAGCAUCGCCAACAUCUUCGGCGCGCCAGGUAGGGGUUGCGGAGUUGUGCGUGAAUCAGAGCAAACUCAGCACCGACUCCAUCAAAGUUUGGGCACUACGUUGCGUUCCCCCGGAAACAGGGUACCACGGCGGGCGCCCUGUUCUACUACGGAUUCCCAAGGCUUGUGCGAGCGCGUUCCUGAACGCGCGCGCGUGGUAGGGAGGCGAAGGCUCCAAGAGCAGCGUCGUCAGGCCAAUGCGUCGCCCGCGGGCCAACACGCAGUUGUCGAGGGCAUGCCUGGGCAUUUCAUAGAAGCCCCGAUGCAUACUCCAGCGGACGCACCCCCACGGAGCAAUGCAUAGUCGUUGAGGAUGCACCACACGGUCCCGAAGCCCCAGCUCGCACUCCAGUGCGAGUGUUGCGCCCCUAAGAGCAUCGCAUCGUCGCCCAAAUACGCGCUCGGGGCCUCUACAAGCACAACCUAGCAAGAGAAAAGCAAAGGGGUUACACCCUGGCCGGCUUUUCCUCCAAACGGCGGUCAAGGACCAUCGACAAGAAGACUUUGCCGGAGGAAAAAGCCACCGGGAGCGGUGAUUCCCUGCUUGCCAAGGGCUCCGACGCCGUGGCAAAAGACUCAAACGCCAUCCAACCGUCGCAUGAGCAGAUACGUUUUUAAGUUUAAGAUUUAGAUCUGAAGUAGAUAGAUUCUUUGCUUCCCCUUUGAAAGUUUCCAAUCUUUGUGUUUUUAAGUUUAAGAUUUAGAUCUGAAGUAGAUAGAUUCUUUGCUUCCCCUUUGAAAGUUUCCAAUCUUUGUGUGUGGAGUUUGCGCAUACUGGGACCUUCCCAAAGAUCAGUGCAACUUUAUCUUUGUUUUGAACUCGCUCAAACGACCUGAAUGGCCACAGAGCGCCUUCAAACAUUUGUGAACCUGAUCAACAGAGCAAGCGGCUACGUAGCACCCAAUUUUGUCUCAAGAUGUGUUUGGUGAUUUCCAUGGUUGCACUGUACGCGGCAAGGAGCCUUGCCGGUAGUUGCGGGCAAGCUCCUAGAUUAUGCAAAAAUGGAUCAUACAAAGAACGGAAUCAGAAAAGGGGAAACAAUAUUUUCAUUCAUUUGAAUGGAUACAUUUGGCUUUGCUAACAAGGCGUUGUUAUUCUAACCUAAAGACUCUAACUUUUGACGAGGAUCUACCUACGCGGAGGAGCAAAGUUCAAAAAGACAAAAAGCGGGCCGGCCCACUUCACAACCCAGGCUCGUCCCUCCUGGACCAACAUCGCGCAGUGGAGAGCAACGCCGGAACAAGUGAAGGGGGCGGGUCCAAUGGUCGCACCGCCUCGAAGACAAGGCAUCGAUGCGGGCCCCGACAAGGAGGGGGAGAGGUGUGAGAGGGCGCCGGUGACAGUGCCAGCAAUCAGUCGGGGCUCGGGGGAUCAUACUCCACUUGACCCACCGGGCUCCCAACCUGCGAAGAGCGCCACUGCCGCCGCUGUCCCCCCUCCUCACUGUCGGUCGAAGCGGAGCUCUCAAUGCCGCCCGAGCGACCUUCGCAACAGUCGAGAAGCAAACAUGGGCGCCCCUAAAGCAACAUAGAGGGAUGCCACAGGAGCAAGCCGCGGGGAAGGCAGAGGCGUUGGACUAGCGCUCCGCCUCCCCCGACCUCGACCUCUGCGAAAACAGCGGCCCCUCGCCCUUCCUCUGCCAUGGGCGUUCGGUUCGUCUUCCGCCGCGGCACCACUAGAAGUUGUGGCAUGAUCCGAAUAGGAUCCCCUCACCGCCCUGGCGGCCGAAGGUUGCCGACCUCGUCCCCUAACCAUGGUUAGGAGCAAGCGCCACCUACAGACAGGAGGAGAUUCUAAAGGCCAAGAUCGAGGAGUUGGUCGAUUCAGAGGGAGUUGGGUGAGGGAAACCCCUCACAAACCCUCCCAAUUUAUAGAAAUGGGCAUGAGGGCUAGCCUCCCUUUCUCCAGAAGCCACCAACCCUCGCUCCCAAUCGCUUUAGCUCACGGGCGAACAAAGAACCACCCUGAUGCGCCAAAGCAUGCACGAGCGGGCCCAUCCACUACUUCGCCUCUCAAGGCCUCGUCUGCCACCAGUCCAUCCAUAAAUGCGCAUGCCACACCUAUGGCAGAGGUGUUUCAGGAGGCGGAGAGGCCACUGCGUGCAUGACCUCCCAGUUUGCACAUCCGGUGCGCGGCGUGGGGAAACGCAACCGCCAGCUGAUCCAACCACGAAGGCCCGUGCACUUAUUUGGGCCUGGCCCAACAAAGCUCCGUGCGCGUGUGUGGCCCAGGCCCGGGGGCUCUUGUCGGUGCACUAAAGACUGGGGUCCCUAGUGCCCCAGACUUGUGCAUGGGCGCAAAGAUCCAGACAAGAUACACCCCCAAUAUUACCAAGGCCCCAGCAAGCCUACCUUGCCGGUAAUAUAACCAAGGCCACGCCCAUCUAGUGGGCAUGAU